CUGACUGAUGUGAAUGCAGUUGCUGCGCUUUGCGGACGGCCGACUCCCAAGCCUUAAUGUUGUGCUGCUGCUUCUGCUGCUUCUGCUGCUCCUUCUCCUUCUUGUACAUUAUGUUCCCGCUGCCUCCGCUCCUCCUCCUCCUCCUCCGCCUAUUGCAUCGGCAUCAGAGCCGCGGCCACCACCAUUGCACAUCCCAUGAGUCCUGGCCCGCUCACAUCUCCGGCAACAAAAUGGUGACGGAGAGAGACAUGGGAGCAGACCGAAGCCGAACGAGGUCGGUCAAGGAAGAAAGGGAGAAAUGAGGUGUUGUGGUGGGCUUAUGUUUCUUAUGUUUUCUCACCCCUUUUUUUAGUUCCGAUCAAUGUAAAAUAAAAAUAAGGAAAAAUAAAAUAAAGAAAAGGUAAAAUGGAUUAUUAUUAUUAUUAUUAUUAUUAUUAUUAUUUUGCUGUUGUGUUGGCUGUUAAUUGCUCUGAUAUUAGCAAAUCGUGGAACAAUUGCAGGUUGGGAAGCCUUCGUCAUACGAUAUGAUCCAUUUGUAUUCGUAUUCUCUAUGCUUGGCUUAGGGUUCGUGCGCACCAUUUCGUUACAGGUGAGGGAGCGGCGUGGAUUAUUGUGGCUAUUUUGGCACAGGCGCUUUGACCGCUUCCCACGACAACGCCGGCUCGAUUUUAGAAGGGUUGGCAGCAAACGCGAUGCGGGGCCGUUGGUGGCCUUUGCCACCUUAGCCUUCGAUGGGAGCCGCGAGCAAGAAGUGAGCCACGUUGUUCGUUGACUUUCCUCGUCAACGUUGUCUGAUGCUAAAUUUGGGUCGUCCUCUCGAUGGACCGUUCUAUGUUUCCUCCGAGUGGUAAUACUUUACGGCUUCUUUUUUGGUGAUACGCUCACUUUUUUUAGCUUCUGUUGCUGCCAAUAAACAUCAAUUUAAUUCCCAGUAAAUUUUCUUUUCUACGGAGAUAUCACUAGGAAUGAGUUUGCCAUUCAAGACAAGUUAAUAUUAUUAUUAUUAUUGGUUCCUAGUAAAUUUAUGAGUCUUUUGAUUCACCAAUUUUUCAAUUAAUAUGGAUUAAAUAUUUUUAUCAGUGCUCUCACAUGGAACAAAGAAUUUCUAAGUCCAUCGAAUUAUUUUUACCCUUAGAGAUAUUUUUUUAGAGGUGGGACAUGGAUAAUUCAUCGCGAACCUAUAGGAUCACCAUAAAUAUUGAUUUAUUAGAUUAGCAUUAGAUGAAUCAAGAGUUUAUAAGUUCGUCGAGUCACUCUUAUCCUCAAAAGCGUCUAUAAGGCUCAUAAAUCCUGAAAGAAUAAAACUAUGCUCAAAACGAAUAAUUCCUCGAAUAUCUCAUGAAUUGAUAUUGCUUAUCUUUAUAUUAAUCAUGGCCAAGAUUCCAAUUGGGAUUACGUUCCUAUAUAUAUAUAUAUAUAUAUUGCAUAAGUUGAUUAUCCUUAAAAUAUAAAUAUUAAUUAGUUUAAUUGAUAAAAAAAAACUCUUAUAUGAUAUUGGCAUCUGUUUUUUGCUAUUUAUGUAGUUGACUUUGAAUUGUAUUGAAAGACAUCUAAUUUGUAUUAAAACUAUAUCGAGAGCAUGUGUCUCUUCAAUACCGUAGUUAGUUUGAGAAAUACAAUGAUGAUAGAAUGUAGAAAUAUUAUGUGUAGGAAUGUACUUGAGGAGCUUUUUUUAUAAUAUGAUAUUUUUUAUCAUUUUACUCAUCAAUAAAUAUUUAUGUGGAGCAUGCUACGCUAAAUUUGUAUUAUGUACAAUAAAUAUGAUACGGUUAGUAAUAUUUCAAUAACGAGAUUAUAUCAAUCUGUUAAAAUAUUGAGAUGCAUCAACGAAGCGUUAAUCAUAUAGCACUGAGGUGUCGAUCAUGUAACAUCGAGGUGUUGAUCACGUGAUUAUCGAAGUGUUAGUUUUGUGUCUAAAAUUAUUAUUUUCUUAUCAUAUAAUAAAUAUAUAAAAUAUAAAAAAAAUAUUAAAACAGGGUCUAAAACCAAAAUAGUUUAUAUUUAUAUAUAUUUAUAACAACAAGGUUAAGACUUGUUUAUUUUUGUCUCGUUAUGAUUCAUGAUCGAAAAUGGUGUCUUAAAAUAGCAAUCGAUGCCUGUGAAUUGGUUUUCGGGUCAAUGAUCCGGUCUCCAUCUCUCGCUUGUGAUCCGCGUCAAUGUCAAUUUCUCGAGUCAUAUCUCGAUUUGACUAACCAAACCCAUCGCAUCCCAUCCCAUCCCAUCUGAUUCACUCGCGCCCGCGUAAACCCAUGACACAGGAAGCCACCGACCCAGCUGUCCGCAUCAGAACUAGCUGAGCCCUCAAUGGCGACAGCUGAGACUCAUGCAGACGAUCCACGUGUCUAUCUAACGUUAUCUUCAAAUGUCUUACGUGUUCUCGUCACCAUCGUCACAUACAUAGCCACAAAGAAGAACGACGCCGCCGCGGACAUGGAGACUUCGCAAGGAAAAGAAGAGCCGCAACAGCUGCACAACGAGAAGGAAGAGGACAGGCCCCAGAACCAUGACAGCAGUACUAAUCGGCCAAUGCCUCUCAUGGCGCUCAAUCACGUCUCCAGGCUCUGCAGAUCGGUGGAAGCCUCCGUCGAGUUCUACACCGCCGUGCUUGGCUUCGUCCCCACCGGUCGCCCUCCCACCCUCGACUUCAACGGCGCAUGGUAUCGAAACCCCCUACCCGCUCCACCUCCUCCGCCUUGACCGGUGAAUAGUAAGCAUGUGCGUGAACCAUCAGGCUGUGGUUCAAUUACGACGUGGGAAUUCACCUGGUGCAGGAGGAGGACGGAGGUGACCUCCCCGAUGCGUCCCUUGACCGUCUCGAUCCGAUGGACAACCACAUCUCUUUUCAGGUCUGGCCCUGCUCAUCAUCGCCGUCGUCUUUUUCUUCCUUUCGCCGCUCUUUGCUAGCUUCUCUUCGCAUGCUGCGUUGGUAGUGCGAGGACAUGGGGGCGAUGGAGCAGAGGCUGAAGGAUCUGGGCGUGAAGUACCUGAGGAGGACCAUCAACGAGGAAGAAGGGUCGCCGAUCGACCAGCUGUUCUUUAACGAUCCCGAUGGGUUCAUGAUCGAGAUCUGCAACUGCGAGAACCUGGAACUCGUCCCUGCAGGAUUCCUGGGGCGGUCUACGACCCCCCGCUCAAAAUGAAUCGCUCGGAUCAGACCUCGGAAAUCACGCGCUCGUUAUGGAAGAACGUGGACCGUUAGAUCAAUGAACCUGCUUUUCGACGAACUGUUUAGGAUUUUAAGUGUUUCUUCUGUAAAAUUCUUAUGUAAAUCUUUUCUUUUACAUAAUAAUAAUAAUAAUAAAUCAUCGAUUUCAACUAAAAACACAGGGAAUAAUUAUUAUUUUUCAUUAUUAACUUGGAAAAACUAUAAAUUUCUUCGUCCUUUUAAAAACUAUUUCAUUUUGUACCCUUCCGUGUAGAACAUGACACUUGUGUUCCGAGGUCGACAAAAUAGGGGACGUACAACCAAACUCUCACAAUCCUUUAAUUAAUACAAAAGUAUUGGGACGAUCACACUCGGUCUACUGCAUUCCAGGAUUGGGAUCCUCUCCAACUUUCUAUUGUGGUUCAUCAUUAACAGAGGGUUGAGAUUUUGUUGUUGAGAGAUCGAGGGCGAACGAUGGGGAUGUCUUUAUGAGCUCUGGGUUACGAAAUUGGAGAGGAUCCCAUGCUGCCUCACCAUAGCCAGAGAGUAAAGACGACGGGCUUUGAUCGCUGCGACAGACCGAGCCGCUGUCUCUCGCACGCACAAGCCACCCUCGUUUCCUUCCUCCCGAUCCUUGUCGUGCUUCCGAAGCUUCGUGCGCGCGAACCGGAGAUCUUCCCCCACCCUCUCUCUCCUCCGCUCCGUCCGUCUCGAGAUCCGCGGAAGAAGCGACGGAAGAGAAGCUUGGGCUGCGGCGAGACGGGCGACGGGAUCGGCGGUGGAGAGAAGUCGAGCGCCGUUCCUCCUGCUUCGUCUCUUCCCGAUCCCCGCUUCUUGAGGGGGAAGAAUGGGAUCUAGGGUUUUUGUUGGGCUCUGCUCAUCGCAUUCGCUUUCUUGGUCCGGUUUUGGCGGGAUAUCGAUGUAGGUUUCGAUCUUGGGACUGGGAAGGAGGGUCGGCGGUGGUCCUUGCCUCGAUCUGGAAUGGCGAAUUAGGGUUCGGUUUAUCGGUUGUUUUUGUCGGUCUUAAUUGAAGUGAAAUGGGAGGGAAUUAGGUCUCUUGUUUUGUUGACGUUUUUUGAUCGUUUUUACUUCUUUGAUCGGAAGACGUUGAGAGACUGAGGAACAAAGGUUGGGAAUAGCUGGUUUUUGGUGAUUUCUUGCGUUCUUUCUUGCCGUUGGAAGUGAGGUUGAUGGGGAAUAAGAUAGGGAGGAGGAGGCAGGUGGUGGACGAGAAGUACACAAGGCCGCAGGGAUUGUACCACCACCGCGACAUUGAUGAAAAGAAACUGAGGAAGCUCAUUCUGGAGUCCAAGUUGGCGCCGUGCUACCCUGGAGGCGAUGAAUGCGCUCUCGAUCUUGAAGAGUGUCCCAUUUGUUUUCUAGUUCGUAUUCGACCUUUGCUUUUUCUGACGUUUCAAUCCUGAUUGAUUGCAUUUAGAGCAAUUCUUGAUGUAGUUCACUUGAUUUUCCCUUUUUUGUUGUAUUAUUGUAGAAUUAUCCGAGUCUUAAUCGAUCGAGGUGUUGCAUGAAAGGCAUAUGCACGGGUAAUGCAAAUUUCUCUCUGUUGUUGAAAAGCUUUUUGGUUCAAUCCUUUUUAUCCAUGUUGUCUGUAUCCAUAUUCCUUUUUUGUUUAAUUUUCUUUUAACUUAAAUUUUGAUGCUUCUUGCAGAGUGUUUCCUUCAGAUGAAACCACCUCAUGCAACUCGCCCUACAGAGUAUCCUUUUCUGUUUUAUUUUUUGCUGCAUCAUAAUUUGGAUCAUGCAAGGUUUACUGCUUAACCUGAUAGGUGCCCCUUUUGCAAAACUUUAAAUUAUGCUGUUGAGUACCGUGGUGUGAAGACAAAAGAAGAGAAGGGAUUGGAAGAAGUUGUAAGUUUUUUCUAGUUUGCUCAACUUUUCCCGCCUUCUUUCUUGAUUUGUGAGUGUACAUUUGCUUGUCAAUGAUGUUCGAGUUGUCUCUAAAUAAUUCUGCUUAAGAGCAGGAAGAGCAGAAGUUCAUCGAAGCACAAAUAAGGAUGCAACAACAAGAAAUUCAGGAUGAAGCAGAAAGGCUGAAGAAAAGAAAAGAUAUAAGUUCUCCGAGUAGAAUAAUGAAUGACGCAGAAGUGGAGUAUUGUGACAUAGGUAGCACGUCGCUUUCAGAUCCUCUUUCCACUAAAUAUUCUUGUUUUUGAUUAUUAAACUUCUUUUAUAUUGAUUGCUAAAGUAGGUCUAUGUUUCUUCAUGUUGUAUUGAAAACUCGACAGUUCCGUCUCUGAGAUGCACAACACAAAUAAAUGAUUUUGUUUCAUCUCAAGCUUCGUGCUCGGUGCCGGCAGGCAUGCUGCCUUCACACUGUAGACAGAACAGGUACAAAGUGCACUCACUUGUUUCAGCUUUUUCUACUAAUUUAGUAAUUCUGUUCUGGUAUGGCCAGUGAUUCAUCCUAUUGGAAAACAUAGAUUUCUAACCACUUUUAUGAAGGUGAUAUGGUUUGAUCUUUUUAUCAACUCUCUCGGUACUUGAGUGUUUGUUGUUUACUGCUUCUGUUAACUAGCUCGUAGUAUAUAUGCUUAGGAAACCUUCCACUAAUUAUCAUUUAAAAUUUUCUUUCUUUUGCCUGGUCUCUGAGUUGGUAACUUCUAUGUUCUGGGACUUCUAUUACAUUGUGAAAGUAUUUCUUAGUGAGAGAACAUUCAAAUGCUGGAUUUUGAUUUUGUUUCUUAAUAAUGGGUAAAUCGGAUUCUUGAUUGCUGCCUACCCUUGCUCAUAGACUUGGUUGACUUGAGGUUCUGAAUUGGUCAUUAAAUGCUUACAAACAUAUCUCAAGUAAUUAAAGCAUAUAGAUUGAGCUUUUGAACUGUUGAAUCUGGUGCAUGAUGUCAACACUCAACAGUAGCCAUAUCUUAGCUUGUUGCCUUGUUAUCUUUUUUUAUUGGCAAUAUAAAAUUCUGAAUGCUUGUUUUCUUUUAUUGUCUCAGGCAUUCCAAAUUUAUAUGCUUAUAAAGUUAUACUAUUUGCCAUAUCUCGUUCAUGUUUUUUAAUCUAGUUCACAUUCAACUUGAUCAAAUGUAUUUCAUCUCAGUCCAUCUUAUGAAAUUGUUGUAAACUCUUAUGGAAUCUUACAAGAAUAUAACAGAUCAAUAGUCUCCCCCAAGGGGUAACAUUUGAGUACUCCAUUUUGGAGUUUGGCCCAUGUGACUUUGGAUUGAGUUAUGACAAAUAUAAGAGAAAAAAUUGUUUAUGAUAUGUUUGCACAUUGGGACUGAUUAUUCUUCCCGGUGAAUCUUCAAUCCAAUGGGUAUGCGCACCAUGGAUGGUCUCGGUGGUGUGGUGAGCUAUGUCAUCUCCCGAAUUCCACAUCACCUAAAAUAGAUCUUGAUAGACUUCUACGGAAUGUAUGUGUAUGUGAUAAGGACAUUGGGUAUUUGACUCGAGGAGAUUGUGAUACCCCAACAUAAUUCAACACCUAUCACCAUCCGCCCCGUUGGAGAACCUUCUAAGCACUCCUUUUUGGAAGGUUUGACCCAUGUGGUUUCAAGCUCUGGUCAUUACAAAAACUGCUUGUGGCCUUACUUAAGAGCAUAUAAUUUAAUUUUUUAUGAUCAAUGGCAAGCUACAAAACUAAAAAGUGCAAUUUUUGGUCUUAAGUCCAAUGGGUACACAAAACUAAAAAUUCUUUUUCCUUUCUUUAAUUUUCAUAACUGUAAACUACACACGAUGGGCAUGCAGCUAGGGAGGCAUUUAUAUCUUAUGGUUGGCAUGUUCUCGUUCAUUUGUCAUCUUAUCUUUAUUUGGAACUUUGUACAAUGCAGAGCUGACAAUUUUGACCGUGAUCUUGAUGACAUUAUGGUCAUGGAAGCUAUCUGGCUUUCUAUUCAGGUAAUAUAGGUUACUAGUUAUAGUUAAAUUGCAGGAACUUGAUCCAAAUGAGUUAAUACUGGGAGUAAUAUUACACAAAAUUUGUGGCUUUUCUUAAAUUAUUCUUAAUUGUUUAUCCUUGAAUUAUGAGGUAAGUUUCAUGCAAUUUGAAACAGUGUUCAUUCAUAACAUGUUCAGUAACUUAUCAAUUUAAUGUUUUAAAUCAUUAUAUUAUGCCCUCAAUUUUUUUUUCAUCAUGCUGCUUGGUUUUGAAGCUUUUUUUUGAGUCUAUUAUUGCUAGUUUCAUGAGACUGCUUUCUCUUUGAUAUUGUGAUAUGGCGCUUUUGAUCCUAGAAAUGAUAUUGCCUCUAAUAAUGACACAAAAUGUAGAUGCUGGUUCUAUAUAUAUAUAUGUAUAUAUAUAUGUAUGUAUGUAUGUAUAUAUAUAUAUGUAUGUAUGUAUGUAUAUAUAUAUAUAUAUAUAUGUAUGUAUGUAUGUGUGUAUGUAUGUAUGUAUGUAUAUAUGUAUCUGUAUAUAUGUAUGUAUAUAUAUAUAUAUAUAGACAACAAUCUGUGACUUGGAUCAUUUAGAGCUGGAAUUGCAGCAAGCUUGUAUUAUUCGUCUAAAUACAAUUAGCAUUUUAUAUUGAAUAGUAAUGGCAAUAUGAAGCUUAGGACCCUGUACUGAUAUUCAUGCCCAAAUUUUCUAAGAAUGGAUUGACACUCUAAUUUGUUGAUUUUUUCAAGACACUUAAACAAAGUUCACCAAAUAUAUUAUUGAUGAUUUGAGGAAUAACAGAAAGGAGACUAAUCUUCUUCUCUUUGCUGUAAGAUAUGUUAUUGUUCUAUCUGAACUUAGUCCUAGUCAUACUUUAAGAUAACACCAAUCUCUCGCAAUACAUGAUGUAAUAAUGCUUUCCAGGAUGAGGCUAGUUAAAAAUGUAUGGUCAGUCAUGCAUUUUAUUCAUGUGAUUCUAUUUUCUGUUUGCUUUGUUUUCUUUUAUUUUACUUCAUCAUGCUUUCACUAUGCUGCUAUUGUCAAAGGUACUUACUGUUCUAUUAGGAUACACUUUCCUUUGCCCAGUCGUAUUUACCCCUCUUAGUAUGAGCCUUGUGUUCUAGGCAGUCAGGUGGGUGCAAAAGCUAGAAUCUGCAAAAUCACUUAACAGCUUGACGUUGCCUGUUGUUUUAGACCAUGUAAGAGCACAUAAGCAUCAGGAUUUCCCAUUUGGUUGAACUGACUGAGACUCAGCUCAUUUGAGACAGGGAAACUACUGGGAGGAGUCCUGUUGUCUUGAUGGUGCUAUUUAAUAACCUCAGUGAGCAAUGGAUUUUACUUGUAUUAGAGAAGUUACUAUUAAUAGGUUAUCCAAUCUAGUGUGUGCUAAUUCUCAUCGUCUGUGCAAUAUAUACUAGACGAAAACUUAUGCAAUAAGGACAAAUUUAGUCUUCUUUAACAUUCAAUCUUAUUGAAAUCUCAAGGUUUUUUGUGUAUCAGAUAGGACAUAAGAUUCUUUUAAAAAAGUUGUUCCAGACUUUCAAUUAUUCAAUUUUGAACCUUCAUGUGCCAAAAUAAUUAUUUUUGGAUGAGCCAUCUAUUUUCUCAAUUUAUGAGAAUUGGGAAAUUACGGUUCUUCCUGCUGUUACAAAUUUACACAUUGCUAAAGGUUAUUGGAUUUGAUCAAGUUUGGAUGUUACAUAAGCAACGAAGAGUUGUAGUUUGACCCCUGCAUCAAUUGAUCGGUCCAUAUUGAUGAAGUCAAAAUUAUCACUUCGAUUGAGUUGAGGGAAUGUUUGUUAUCCAGUCUAUCUUUUGUUUAUGCAAUAUGUUUGCUCUAGUUUUGUAUACUAUUUAGGUAUUACUCCAUUUCGUGACUUUUCUUUGUGCUUUGUAAUAUCUGUCAGAGAGGGUCCAUUAUGUUUUGCACAAUGUUUAUAUCCCUUCGUGUUUGGAUAGGAGUCCAACCAAAGAGGAUUCCUUAGAUUUUCUACAGGGUAGUUGAAAGAAGGAAUUCUACUUUGUUGUUUAAUCAGUAGUUUGUUCCUUUAAAAUUGUUUCUUUUGAUGAUCAUGAAAAUCUACCAGGCAUAAGUGGCUGGUGAUUUUUUUCAUCUGGAGAAAACACACACACACACAUAAAUAUAAAUAUAAAUAUAAAUAUAUAUAUAUAUAUAUACAUAUACAUAUACAUAUACAUAUACAUAUACAUAUACAUAUACAUAUAUAUAUACAUAUAUAUAUACGUACAUUCAUAUAUAUGCAUACAUAUAUACGUANNNNNNNNNNNNNNNNNNNNNNNNNNNNNNNNNNNNNNNNNNNNNNNNNNNNNNNNNNNNNNNNNNNNNNNNNNNNNNNNNNNNNNNNNNNNNNNNNNNNNNNNNNNNNNNNNNNNNNNNNNNNNNNNNNNNNNNNNNNNNNNNNNNNNNNNNNNNNNNNNNNNNNNNNNNNNNNNNNNNNNNNNNNNNNNNNNNNNNNNNNNNNNNNNNNNNNNNNNNNNNNNNNNNNNNNNNNNNNNNNNNNNNNNUAUAUUUAUAUAUAUGGUUGAAAGGUUCAGCACAGUGGCUAUGGAAAUAGAGAUUCCUGUGCAAUAACAUGUGGAUUAUUGAUUUUGAAGCUCGACAAUUCCGCAUCAAAUGGUGCUUAUAUAAAAGCAACAAGCUGAGAGGAGAGUUCUGAGCAGAUGUCGUGGCAUGUUAAUAGCACAACCACUUGAUCUAGCUCAUGGAUGGGUGUGGAACUGAAAUGAUGAAACUAAGGCUUUGGAGUUCCACUCUAAAAUGGGAGAUCAGUUAUAUAUUCUUGCACUUGACUCUGCGUUAUGUAUGUGUCAGAAGUCAUGCUUUUCUGAAUGAGUCUGGGUAGUCUAGCUAGUAUUGAUUGAAUACAAUAUAUGUUAUGUUAAUCAUUGAUUGUAGUAGUUUCUUCCCUGAGUUUAGGUAAUUUUAUAGGAUUUUCAUCAUAGUCCAUUUUUCUAUUAAAGAAGGUCAAGUUUGUAUUUAAAAUUACAUUUGGAUAGAAAUCCAACUAAAAGAGGCUGCUAGAUACUAUUUGGAUUGGUUUAGGUCAUGAUUCGUCUUAUCGGUCCACACCGGUGUACCGGCUAGUUAUCGGUACGGUAUAUACCGAACUGUACCGAGCAUACCAGCACAUGGUAGAUGAGGUCAUACCGAUGUAUCACUUAUACCAGUCCCAUGUUACACCAGUAUGUACCACUUGUACUGAGCGGUAUAUCAUGGUACGGCAAACCUUGGUUUAGGUUGUAUUUGAUGUCCAGCUGAUAUGUGCUAAAGAGGAAAUCUUGACUGCAAUAUCAGAUGUAUCUUUAAAUUGUCUAAAUUGGCUGCCUGUCUUAUGAGUUGCCUUUUCCUCAAUUUGCAUCACUUUCUCUUUUGUUUCAUUCUAGUUUCUCUAUUUUCUAUGUGUGCCUGUUCAUUAUUAUUCAACUGUUUCUUUUCAGUCUGGAAGCAAAGCUGAAGAGCACGAUUUAUAUUGAGACAUUCCUGUCUGAAUUGCAUGACCUGAACAAACAUGGCUAUACCUUAUGCCCAAACGCAAGGCAACAGCAUGGAUUAGAUGCAGGGUUUAGGUUUUAAGGGCACAGUUGUUCUUUGAAAGCAGAUAAAUAGAAGGAGAAAGAGAAAGAGGAAGAUAAAAAAGGCACAGAGGAGGAGGAUAUAAAAAAAUAGUCCUGGAUUUACAUUGGGGUGGUAAAAAAUAUUAAAAGGAACUUUGGGGAGGUUCAACACAUCAACAUGGCUCACAUGAGGAAGAAUGGAUGUACCUUUAGGAUCACAAGAUGUCAUGGUCCAGGAGUAAAUUGUCAUCUAUAUUUUGUGUCAGAGAUGAUUUUUAAACAGGAAUAAGUGGAUUAUAUUCUUGAUUAUUUUUUAAAUUAUAGCAAAGUUUGGCUGUGGACAGGUCUUAAAUAUAAAUGUGCUCUAAUUUUCCAUUUGUUUUUAUCCUUGUUUCUCUAGAGGUUCUCGCUUCCUGUCCAAUAUUUGCUCUUUUGUUUUUUGCUGUUUUCCAAUUGAAUCACUCAGAAAGUCCCUUUACUGUCCAGAUCCAAUGUAUCUUGACUCGUUUGACCAUAGGAACAUAGGCUGCCUUAGAAAUCUCAACCACUGCCUUGGUGCAGAGCUUAUCAACUGCAACCCAGACAUUAUGGGGUCAAUUUUUCAAAACAGCCUCUCAUCAUGCAUGGUUAAGGUUGUGGGAAUGUAAUAAAUACACUGUGAUGCCAGAGGGAAAUGAGCUUUGUGCACUAGGCUGCCAUUUUAGAAACCUAAUUUCUGCAUGCUUAGGUGCAUGCCUAUGCAUUAGUGAGUGUUCAUGUGGUGUUCUUUAUAUGUAACUACUAUGCUAUUUUUGAUGUUUUCUUAGAGAUAUUAUAAAAAACAUCAUCUGUUUGCAUUAUUAGACACAGUUUGGAUUAAGUUAAAUAUAAAGGUAUCACGAUAUAAUUUUCAUUAUUCAUGUUUAGAUAGGAGAAAGUAGAAUAUAUUUCUCAUUGUUUAUCUUUUUUUCAGAACCCAAUAUCUAAUUUGGCAUUUCACUUUGAUCAGGAGCAUGGUCAUCAAGGAUAUCCAGUCUAUCUCGGAAGUUUUUUCCCUGGACCAUCCUUUUCAGAAGAAUGUUACAGUUCCCAUGGAAUAGCUCCUCCAGAAGUGUCACCCUAUAGUGGGUUAGCUUGUGCAGCUUCAGCUCUAAAUGAGCACCAGCAUAUUUAUGUGGAGUCUAGUGCUAAUAUAUCCAGUAGUGCCACCUCAAUGUUGGACAUGCUUCAUCAAUCAGGCAGUUUAGGAAACAUGAGGUUUAUGCAGAAUAAUCCUUCAAGUUACUGGAAUGAGAUACCACCAGAUAGCGGAAGGGAAGUACUGAGGGAGGAGCUUGGUGAGUGUUCGACUGAUCAUUGGUCAGACAUGUCUGAGGCAGGGACCAGCUAUGCUGGUUCAGAUGUUAUGGUAGAUCCACGGACUGCAGUGAUUCCAUUCCCAAGUGGUGCUAUCAUGACUCCGGGACAUUUCGCUCCCGAGAACUUUGAAGAGCAAAUGAUUCUUGCCAUGUCGGUGUCAUUAGCUGACACUCGAGCAAGGAUGCCUGCCCAAGGACUGACAUGGCUGUAAUGAUGAUGAUUUGCCCUAAGAAAUUUCUUUCCGAUCCAUUUGUUUUUCCUUUUUUUUUUUGUCUCCUUUUGUCUGUUGGUUUGAUGGUUCUUUCAUUUUUAGUUGGUUUCCUGUAUACAUGUGAAGGUGACACUUGUAUGGAUGGUGGGAAAGAUGGUGCAUAGAAUUGAAAGGCUAAUAGAAUAUGCAUUAGUUGACUCUUAUCUAAUGUAAUUCAAAGGCUAUUAUUGCUUUAGUUAGAAAAUAUAAAAUCAGGUAGUAAUCUUUAUAAUUCGUGCACAUUCGUUAAUUGCAUUCUUUGAUUUCCCAAUACUUGAUUUCCUGUUGUUUGGCAAUGUAGGAUUGUUGAGGUUGUGGCAUUCAUAUCUAGUCUUUGAGGUUCAUGGAUUUUGCCAGCCGCAGCUGAUGCGAAUCACCAAACCAGUUGGCUUGCGGUGUCAUAAUUUUUGCUAUGUAGGCAGCUUUCAUAAUGAAUCUGAGCAGUGGUUUUGCAACUGCUGCAGCUUGAUGCUUGUGGGAGCUUCUGUUGUUGCUAGUGAUGCAGCCAUGAGAACGGAAGUUUCAAUGUACUAUGUAUGGUACAUUGUAUGUACCAUACAUAGUCAUACAUGCAGUGAGGAAGAAUACAAUCCAGCAAUAAAUUGUUAUGUACAUAUUAUGCAUUACGGAACCAUGGAUGGCUAUGUUCCCAGAUUAGCAUCUUGCAUCUGAUACAUCAACCAUUAAAAAUAGUCAAUGCAUAAGGAAUCAAGAAGCUAAGAAACAAGUAAUGGUAACCCCAUAUAGUUUAAAAGGAUCACCACGUAACACCCAUCCAUUCAAUACACGAGCUUACAGGGAAAAGCGAAGUGGUAAGAGUAUAUUAUAAUCCCUUCCUGUGAGUACUCUUUUCUGAAAAAUACAGUGCCACGGCAAUUUCGAGGUUGGAGCAAUAACACGCAUAAUAAAAAAAGUUGGUGCAUGUCGCUCUUGAUUAAUAUAUGGAUCGAAUUGAUGCACAUAAAACAAGUAGGACAAUUAGAUCUCGCGUGCUCAUAAUAUGAAAAAGGGAUCCAACAAGGAUGUUUUUGGAACCUUACAAGAGUUGCAACUGGGGAUUAUUGUUUGCUUCUUCGCUUCCGAACAAAAACACCAUUCUUUCUACAUUCUUGCAUCAUUCAUUAAAUGUAUUUGUCUUUGUCUACGCUGACUGAGGGAUACAUAAAUCGUCUUUCCUUGCUUCCUAUACCUUGUUUUAGCACUGAUUCAUCGAAGAGGGCACGGAAGGAAAGCCAUGGAUGCGUGUAAAAAGCAGAGCGAGGGAGAGGGUGUGUUGGAGAUUUCCAAUAUAUUAUUGCCUUUUUGUUUCUUUUCAUAUGCUAUUUGAUGCUAGUGGGUAAAACAGCUAGCCAGAUUGAGAGAGAGAGAGAAGAGAGAGAGAGAGAGAGAGAGAGAGACUGUGAAGGGUACUGCUUAGCCAGUGAGCCGCAGAACCAGCUUGGAGGAAAAGCGUCUCUUUGAGAUGUUUUAAGUAUGACUAUCACAUGAGACAUUGGGUGAAUCCUGGGAGGAUGCCCCAGAUUUGUUUUCCUUCAGAGGUAAGGGGGAAAGAUGCCUCAUUUUCCAGUUAAUGCCAUUUUUCUCUCCAUUGGACUGCAAUCUGUUAAAAAUGCCAGGUUUUUGGGUUCUUUUUUCAUCGAUGCGUCCAUCUCCUUAACUUUUUUGGUUUAUUUUUUUCUUCUUUUCCUUUUUGUGACGCUCCCCUUACUCGAGUUGUGAUAAAGGAGACAUUUUUUCUCAUGAAUGGCCUGGAAUGCUGGAUGCUGUGUGCAUUUUGUGGAGAAAUUGCCAAAAGUGCAGGCAUGCUGAGGUGGGGUUUCCUUGCUCAAGAGGCGUCAAAAGUACUAGAUUUCAUGUGAGAUUGUCGGUAGUCGGUCUUUGAUUUGAUUCAUUUCUGCUAGAGACUGUAAAACAGGGAUCUUGGUGAGGUGCAAAUGGCCCUUUCCUUUAAAUAUUCCUUGCUUCCCUCCCUCCAGGUUUGUUGUUCUGAAUCAUGAUUGAUGCCAUUGUGUCUCUUUCUCGAUAUCUUGCGUUUUGACUGCUAGGGAAGAUUUUGGUCGAGGUGGAGUGAGUAUUAGGGUUUCAUUCUCGAUAUCUUUUUUCUGAGGAAAUUUCAUUAGAGAAUAGGGCUUAGGAAGGGCUUUGCUUUUUGUGAUACCUCUUGUUUUCAUUAACUUGAGGUGUUAUUCGUGAUCUGAUCGUGUACUCUACUUGAAUAUUGAUUUUUAAUAUCUGCAGUGCACUGUUUCUUUGUUUCUUGGUUCAAAAGCUUGAAGAUAGGAUCUUUAAGGUUGCUUUGUCUCUUUUGUUUGUGCAUAUUUUCAAGUUAAGAUGCAUGACGCUUUGUCUUGAAAUCUUACAGCAAAAAUGCCCCUCCAACGAGAUCUCAUAAUGCUGCUUUGCCACAUUCAGGUCUUGUCUUUCUGACUUAUAUUGUUUCUUAUAUUUCCCCUCAGUUCUCCUUGCCUUUAUUUUCAAAGGGAAUUUUCCACUGGACCUGAUCUUUCUGGUUAAAUUAGCUGAGUUAAAUUUGUAAACACAACUUGUUUCUUCUUUAGAAUGAAAAAAAAAAAGUUUGCUUAUUUUUUGUUGACAGAAGUCACAGUGAAUGCAGGAACUGUAGGCCUUUUGGUGUCUUGAAAUGUAUUCUCUCCUUGGAGCAAUUUAGGGCACCAAAUUUAUGCUUUAUAAGCAUAUCUCUUUCAGAGAAAGGCGAACUCUAUUAUCUUCUAUUGAAAUAAAGAUGAAACAUAUGGUUAGAUCAAUUCACAUGAAUCUGCCUAUGUAGCACAUGUUGAAAUUGGACAUGAGUGUGUUGGUGGGGACAUGCUUCAGCCAAGGGAAGCUGACAUACCUGCACUUUUCAUUUUCCUGGUCUUGAUUCCACUUUUCACUUAUAUCUUACUUGGGAGAUGGAACGAGGCGGCUAAGAAGAAGGCUAGGAUAAGUAUACUUGCUCAGCUUGCUGCUGAAGAAGCUUUCCAAGUAGAAGCAAUGGCAUCUGCCAGUGUCCUUCAAGUUUUGCCAUCUUCAAGAACUGGCUUUCAUGAAUGCACUAGAUGCUUUGCCCCUGCUACAACACGCUGCUCCAGAUGCAAGUCGGUCAGAUACUGGUACAAUAAUAUAACAUUUCAUGGAUUUCUUGUGUUGUUCUCAUUGAUAAUCUCUGAUACUUUUUUCUUAUGUUUCUGAUCAUCUAUAUAUUAUUUGCUGAAUUAAGAACAUUUUGCUUCAUGAAAAGCUGUUAAGGUAUGCACUGAAGAUUUUCUUUGAUUUAGUUGAUUUUCUAGCUUGUUGAUUUAACAUGCGGAAAAGGCUAAAACCGUCGGGAAUACUUAAUAAACAUAUUAUAUUGGAUUAUGAAAUUCAUUUAGUAAAGAUUGAUCCAGAAAAUGUGUUUUUUGUUUCCCAUUGUGACCCAGCUGUUAAGAAUUGCUCCAUUGCUGAUGGUCCGUGGUGGUAAACUUUUCCUACUGGUCCCUAUUGUUAUAAAUUCUUUCCUCUUCUCUUCCCUCCCCUUCCUCUAAUCCCUUUUUUCUUUUUUUUUUCACUUCUCAAAGAAUAAGAUUAGCCAUAUUGGAAAAUAUCAGCCAAUCCUAGCCCGCCCUAGGUGAAUUAUACCAGUUCUAGUUCAACUUUGUUUCAUUACCAUGAUUCCAAUAUAGAUAUGACAACAUGGCUAAAAAUUUAGUCAAAAAUUGAAUAAGAUUGGCUAAUUCUGGAAUAGGUUGGCUUUUCAUGUAUUAGGUAUCAUUUGGGUGCAAAUUUAAAGGUUAAUUUAUUGAGACGGUCUUAAGAAAUUUUGUGGUUGAAUAGUGUACACAGACACUAUGAAGUAUGUAUCUGUAAUAGACAUGUAGUAAAAAUUAAUAUACUCCUCGCAGUUAUUUGUUGACUUCACAUGGAAAGCAAAAUUAAUAGUAUCAUGUAAAUAAAAUGGUACUUUCUUCUCUAAAGCUGAUCGUGGAUACACUUGCUUGUAUUUGUCGUCUUUUAUGCUGUAAUUAAUCCUGCCAUAUUAAUGGAUUCUAAUAAGCAGCUUAUAUUAUUUUGGCAUCUCCUGUUUUCAGUUCUGGAAAGUGCCAAAUAAUUCACUGGAGGCAGGGGCAUAAGCAUGAAUGUCAACAAUGGCAUGAUAGUUCCUUGGAUGUUUUGGCUGGCCUACCUCUUAAAGAUACAGUUCGGCAUAAGUCUAUCUUGAAUAACUCAAAAUCAUCUUACCUUUGCAAUGGUAUUGAAGAGCCCCUGCAUUACAAUAUUCAAAAUGACAUGGAUGAUCCUUCCUUUAUUAGCACUGACACAUCCGAAGAUUCAGAGACUGGAAGGAAGUCAUCAAGAAUGGGUGUUGUUAAUAAAUCAAAAAAAGAUAAAUCUUAUGGCGAUGAUUACACUGCAUGUGCAUUUGAUCAAGACCAUGACCAUGAUGCUUGUGCUCAAGCCUUGUUGACCAACCAUUUUACUGAGAUUUCUUCAGAGGAUGCUCCUAAAGGAUCUAAGGUGUGAGUUUGUAUCGUAUGUACUCAUAGUGGGCAAGAUUAAUUUCUGCUUUUGGUUUCACUGUCUUACUGAUGUGCUUGUGUACCAAUGGUUUCAGUUAGCAAAUCGAAACUCUACUGUUUCGCCCUGUCAAAUCCAUAUGAAUCAAGAGACCAACAUCUCAUCUAAUGCCAGAAGUCCGAUGGUCCAGCACAAUAAAUCAGCUGCCGAAACAAGAAAGGGACUGGAACAAAGUGGUUCCACUGCAACAUCAUCUCGGUUACAUUCGGAUAAACAUGUGAUAAGUGAAUGCCAAAAUGGUGCAAAUAUCAGUCCAGAGAAAGCAGAUUUUUCUGAGUCUGGUUUUUCUUCUUCUAAUGAAAAAUUUCAUGUCAGUUACCCUGCUGAACACUAUUCAGCCAAAGAAAGCAUAAUGUACAGGAAACCCCCCUACACUCUUGGGCACACAGCUUCCUCGUCACAGAAGUUAGCAGAGAACAUGUCGAGAGGAUACCACUCUCAAAGUUUAGGAAAAAUUUGUGACAAGGAAAAUGGAUCUGGUAGGAUAAGAGAACUUGUUGUGAAACUUUAUUAGACUUGUACACUUUUCCAUUGUAUGCUCCUGUUCUGCUUUUGCUUUUUCUUCUUAUUUCUUAAACCUUGUGCAGGAAUCCGACAAAAGAAUAUAUCCUCGAACAUCCACAUACGGGGCCUCAGUGGGAAUGCAAGCAUUGAAGGGAUUAUGGCAGGCUCAAAGAAGAAUCCAAAAGCGCUCAAACGGAAUCUUCUUUUAUUGUUGAAUGACAAUAAGAAGAACAAGGUCUAUUUUCUAGACUUGAAACCAUGUAUUACAUUUGACAAAUAGAUCUCUGCUUUUCAUGUUCUGCAAUUCCAGGUUUGUCAAAUGUUAUUUCCUUACGAAGAUCUUGUUAAGUUUUUCCAAUGUGAAGAGUGGCGGAUAUCUCCUAGGGGGCUUCUUAAUUGUGGAAAUAGGUAUGACUUAGUAAGUUGAAUGUUUAUUUGUAAUAGGCCUACCAUUUAUGAAAAUGAGGUUGUGACAUAUUUCAUUAUUCUGUAUUCAUAUUAUGAGGGAUUGCUUUUGUGGCUUGCUAAGAAGCAAGGUUACCCUUGUAAGUUUUGUAAAGAUUGAUUUUGUCAUCUGACAGCUUAAAUUAUUAUGGUAUACAAAAAAUAUCAUUUCUUUUUUAGAGUAAAUUAAGAAAAUAAGAGGAAAUCAUGCCAUGUAAGGAAUGCAUACUCUUUGCUUCCUACACUUAAAAGUAUUCAUCGUAUUAGCCAUGAAAUCAUUGUUUUUCUCAAAAUUUUUAUGCAAUAAUUGUUGUUUUUCUUAGUGAUUAUGUUAACUUAUUCCCCUUUAGCCAAAGCAGUGAUUUAAAAAGCGCUAGGCAUCAAGGUCCAAAAAUGCCCGAGGCGCUAAAAUAUAAAACUAUAUAAUAUAAUUAAUAAAUAUAAUUAUUUAAAAUUUUAAAUAAAAAUAUGCUAUUAAAUUAAUUUGAUAAAUACAAAUACUAUUACUAGUAUACAGUUAACAGUAUACUACUGUAUACUGUAUAUUGUUAACAGUAUACUAUCGAAAGAGGAGAAGAGUGUAAGGGAAGAGUCGGAAGAUCGAGGGUGUUGACUGAGAAGAGCGGGAGCGGCAACUGCGAGCGACGACAGUGGCAGCGACAGUGGCAGCACAAUAGCGGGAGCGGCAAGCGGCGACAGUGACACCGUCAACAGCGAGCGGCGGGAGUGGGAGCGGAAGCGGCGAGCGGAGACAGUGGCAACGGUAGUAGCGGCAACGGGAGCAGGAACGACGACAGCAGCAGCGGCAGUAGCGUGAACGGCGAGUAGGGUUAGGGUUGGGGAAGUCACGUUGAUAUCGGUGCUUUAGUUGGUUCGAUUGAACCAACUAAAGCACCGAAGACCGAACCAGACCUCAAACGCUGGUUCGGUCGCCUGGUUUAACCUAAGCGCUCACCCAAAGCACCCGGCGCCUAGGCUCGAGCGAGCGCCCAGGCGGCGCCUCUUUGAAGCACGCCGCCUGGAAAUGAAGCGAGGUGCUCGGGCCUCGCCUCGCCUUGCCCGAGCGCCUAGGCAAGCGCCCUAGUGCCUUUUUAAAUCACUGAGCCAAAGAAACCUUAAGUUUCUUUUGAUGGGAUGUGGUUAUCUGAAAAACCUAUUUCAAGGGUGUGGAGAUCUGUUUAGAUUUUAAAAUUUUAAAGCAACAUCAUUUCAAAUUGUUAUUGCUACAUGUUUUUCCUGAUCAGUAUUUAUUUACAUGGUUUAUAUAUUACUUUGGAGCUAGCCGCAACUGAUCUAAUUGGAAAUAGACGUUUUUUUUUUUGCAUUACUUGCUUUUUGUGUCUUUUUAUUUUCUUAUUUUCUUGAAUUUUUUGUGUUCCUUUUUUUCGUGCUUUAAUAUUAUUGGUUUGGUAUUCAUUUUGCUAAAGUCCUGAUCCCUUGGUUCAAAAGCCUAAUCCAGCUUAUCUCGGUUUCGAUUUGAUUUUCUAUGCUAUUGCUACUGUUCCUGGUAUUUUAAUGGAGUGUUCCUGUAGUUGGACUGUCUAUUGGAAUGAAUAUAAAAAAGACGAGCUCGGUGUGUGAGGCUUUUAUCAAUACGGGGUCUGGGGAGGGGUAAUAUAUGUGGUAUAUAGCCUUAUAGAGGCUGUUUCUGAGACUCCUCCCAGAGCACAUAGGAGUAAACCCUCUUGUUGGAAUGGAUAUCUCAUAGCGAAAAAAUUGAUUUGUUUAUGGCUGUUUGAACACUGAAAUCAUUGAAUUCCUUGGUUAUUCAUCUAAUGGUCCAUGCUGUCAACGACAACUCGUGGAAAUCAGUGUUUGCAUUUUCACCAGGAUUUAUAGUUAAUUAUUUCAAAUUGUAUCCUUGUUUGAUUCUAUAGCUUGUCCGAGUUUAGGUCACCUGUUCGGCAAAUGUUAUAUAUCAUCAUGACAUCUGAUCACUGUAUGUAUGCAUAUGAUAUAUGUCCUUGUCAAAUGUUCAACUAAAUGAUUCUAGAAUUAAUGAAAGCAUAAUUUUGUGGUUUAUAGGUGAGUUUUACGUUUUAAAGGACAAUUUGUGAUAGCAUGCAUUACUUGUGGAGUAGUGAUCAUGGAUCUCUAGGUUGCUACAUACAUGCAUUUUUAAAUUUGUUCAGCCUGUGGCAUUUAAGACACUCGAGGACAUGAGAACAUGCCUUGCAAGGGUAAGGAGCAUCAAUGUAGCAACUUGGUGAACUGUGUAAAUUGUGUCUGAUCUAUUGUAGUUCAUGUGUUUGAGAUAACAAUUUAAGUGAGUGACACGUACUAAGAGGAGAAAAAUAAGUAAUGGGUUUGUGUUUUAUUUAAAUGUAUCAAUUUGUAUAUGUGGUUUUUGAAGACACUACACCGACAGUAUGAACCCAACAGCUUCUUUACUUAUUCUAGUCUAUCCCAAAAUCAUAAUGCACUUUAAUGAAUUACUUGUUCUCUUUUAGGAUCCUUCUCUAAAGCAUCUCUAACUUUUAUAGCUUUGUAUUUAUUGCAGUUGCUAUGCUAAUGCUGUUUUGCAAUGUCUGACUGGCACCAAACCUCUCAUGGUCUACCUACUUCAGAGAUCACAUUCAAGAACCUGUAAUUCUGACUCGUCUUUGCUCUUAUGAGCAAAUAUUAUGAGAGGUUUUAUCAUUUUAUCUGGAUAUCUUCUGCUAAAUUAUUCUGCAUUUUUAGGUUGUGUCAAGGAGUGGUGCCUCAUGUGUGAACUCGAGCAACAUGUUUCAAUGUUGAAGGAAGGAGGUGGUCCUUUGUCUGCCAGUAAGAUCCUUUUGAACAUGAGAAAUAUUGGGUGUCGCAUGGGUGGUGGAAACCAAGAGGAUGCACAUGAAUUUCUCAGGUGUACCACAUAAACAUGGCACUCAUUUGGUUCUUAAUUUGUUACUUUACAAAUUCCUUUCAUAUCAGUUACUUUAGAAUAGGGGUACAAUACUCUGGGCAAGAUGUGGAUCUUCAUCCUUAAGAAGUGAUAAUAAGUUCAUGCCUGAUCUGUUCGAGGAUGCUGAUCUGUUCCCAGCCUGCAGAUGGCUUAAUCUUUGAGCCAAGCUAUCCCGAGUAGCUAUCAUUUAUUUUAAUAACUUCAAAAUAAGCCCUAGCCUGAGCUAAAUACAUAUCAAGGAAUCCAGUUAGCUAGCUUAAUAGCAGGAAAUGACUGCCUGAGGCCAGUUUUUUGGGGCCUGAAUCAGAUUGGGUACAGGAUUAUGCUUUCCAGGCUGAUGGCACCUCUUUUUGUAUUCUAUUCAGCUUCAUCUCUUCACAAUUCAUAACAACUAGUUUCUAAAGUCAUCCUGUUACUGAUGCAUCUUGAUACAAAACAACCAGGCUUCUAGUUAUGUCCAUGCAAUCCUGUGUGCCUUGAAGGACUGGGUGGUGAGAAGGAAGUUGAUCCAAGGUUGCAAGAUACAACACUUAUACAACAGAUAUUUGGUGGUCGCCUCAAAUCAAAGGUGACUGACUUUGACUUUGCUGCAAAAUCAUUUUGCUUGCUUAGCACGAUCUUCUUACUCUUAAUUGUAAAGGAUAUUUGAUACUAACUAGUGUACCUAAUUGUAUCAAGGUCAAGUGCCAAAGAUGUCAUCUUGAGUCUGAAAGAUAUGAGAGCAUUAUGGAUCUUACACUGGAGAUACAUGGCCGGGUUGAAUCACUGGAAGAUGCUCUCACACAAUUUACUGCUCCGGAGGAUUUAGAUGGGGAGAAUAUGUACAGAUGUGGAAGGUUCAAUCAAUACUCCAAAUUUGCCUAUCUGAUUCCGUUAGUUGUUUGUCACUGCUGAUUCUAUCUUUGAAUUUGAAAAAUAGGUGUUUGGCAUAUGUUGAAGCCAGGAAGCAGUUGAGUUUACAUGAGGUCCCCAACAUACUAACUAUAGUUUUGAAGAGGUUCCAGGUAACAAAUUGACUAGGUGGACUUGUUUAAGCUUUAAAAUGGUUUCUUUCAGAUGACCCUAGAAUUUAAUUUCAUGUGAAACAUUAAACUGUGAACUUUUCAUUCUAUUAAUCACUUCUUUUGUAGGAUAUUUUAAUUAUAUUAAAUAUAAUUAUAUUUUAAUUGCAUAUUAGUUUUUAGUAUCCAUAUGCAUUACUUGUUGCAUGACACACAUUUCUAACAGUAUUCUUGUCACUGAUAUUAACCUUUUUCUAUGUAGUUAAUGCACAUUAAUUUGAUUCUCUUUCUUACAGAGCUGUUGUUGCUUUGCUUAAUAGACAGGGAAGUAUGGCAAAAUCAAUAAGUGUGUUACCUUCCCUGAGAUGCUGGACAUGAUUCCUUUUGUGACUGGGACUGCUGACAACCCUCCCCUUUACCUGUUGUAUGCGGUUGUUGUGCACGUGGAUACACUGAAUGCAUCAUUUUCAGGGCAUUAUAUUUCAUAUGUUAAAGAUCUGGAAGGAACAUGGUUCAGAAUUGAUGAUUCUGAGGUAACUAGAGUCCACUGAUCACUUGAUGCUGGAUUUUGGGAGUUGUUAUUUGUCUUAUCAAAUGCUGCAUGAAUUGGAUUUCUAGCAAUAUUAGUGUUAGGAAAGGUUCCAAUAUAAUUCAACAAGCAUUAACAUUCAAGAUUGUCAGGCUCGUAUUCCUACUUAGGAUCAUCGAGGGGUUACAAAGUCAGAUCGUAGAAUCUGACCUUAGGAACAUAAGAUCCUACAAAUAAAAAAAAUAUUAAGAUACAUACACUUAAAGAAAUUUAUAUAUAGUUUUUUAUUAAGAUUUAGUAAUUCUUAUAUAUUCUUAUAUUUUUAUUCCAUGAAACUGAACUUAAUGUUAAAUUGUUCAAGUUUUGCAUGUUUAUCUAGCAAACAACUGUACUUAAUGUUUAUCCAGCCAACAGAGAAGAGAGGAGAGAUGGGAGGAGAAGACAGGAGGAGAGGAGAGAACAUGAAAGGGAGGAUAGAAGAAUAGAGAGGAGGAGAAGAAAUAAGAGGAGACACAAAGAGACGGUAAGGAGAGGGAAGGUGGAGAAAUAGCACCUGUGGGUAGAGAGGAAGUAACAACCACUCAAGCAGCCAUGUUGAAUGGUCAGCAAUGCUGGUACCCUCUCAUCGUGAAUGGCAGAAGUGGUCUAGGUCUGUCUUCUCGUCACUCUUACACUGCAAGGAUCACACAUCUUUGAACAGCCAGUAAGGCAGCAUCCUCUCGUUGCGGGCAGCAACAAGGUCUAGGGCUCUGUUGCUCCUAUGCUCCAAGGAUGGCACACUGCUUCAAGGUGAGUUCUUUUUACUUUCUUUUAUAUAAAGUCAACUGAGUUGACUUGCUAAGCUCGAGUUGGCUUGGCCGAAUCGACCGAUCUUACCGAGUCAACUCACAAGUCGGGCUGAUUCCACCAUUUUUAAGUUUCGAUGACCAACCCGACUUGCCAAGCCCGAUCUGGGCCAUAAGAUUGCAUGAUCCUACAGCAUUGCGAGUUUAACAACUUUGUUAACAUCCCCUCAAUAUUUUUGCAAGUAUAAUAUCCUCUCUCUCAUGUAUUAGUUGGUUUAGGUUUGAUCUGUGAAAUUGCAUGGUGCAAACCAAGUAGAUUGAGGGGUAUUACACAAAUAUUGAAUAAAAAUCACAUGGAAAAACGGAGGAUAGUUAUAGGAUUCGAACUCAGAAUCUGUUUUCAUACUAUAAUAAAUAUUUUUGACCCGGUGACUAAUGAUUCCUUAACUUGAAGUUGUUAGGAAUGGAUUCAAUAUUUUUAUAAGCAUUAGCAUUCCCUGAAUAUCUGUAUAAGCAUUGACAUUCCCCUCAAAUGCAAGCCAGCUUAAGUUUAGAUUGAAACAUUUAUCAUGGUACUAACUACUAAGGCAUGUCAUGAGUUUGAAACUUGUAUCUGCCUCUCUUUAUUUCAUGUGGUGUUUAAUUGAUGCUUGUGCAAUGUCCUUCUUAAUUGACUUGCAUGAUGCACUUGACUUUGGUUCAUGCAUCAAGCCUAAUCUGGCUUGCACAUGAGAGAGGAUAUUAGAACUUAAUAUAAAUUGGGCCAUUUCCUAAAAUUUUAAGUUUUUGGAUUUUGGUCACCCAUUUUAAAUAUUUAUCAAUUAAUGUGUCAUUUGCUUGAUGAUGCCUGUCUAUUUCAUCUGAGUGUCUAUUCUUCUGAAGUUCACCUGCCUUUUCUAUUGCAGGUUAUGCUCAUUUCAUAUAACGUGUUUCAUGUAUUUGCUGAUUGAUUAGCUUAAAAAGUGCCUUUCUAGAUGGACCUAAAUUUUGGUUUAUCGUUGCUUUAUCGGUUGACAGACAUUAUAGCUUACUUGGUUGCCAUAAAUAGUUCAUGUUCCCAUCUCUUCUAAAAACCGGCAGUUUCUGUAUGUCAUGUCAGAGCGCACUGAAACAGGAUUCCAGUUGCUAUACAGAAUUAGGGCUUAUUAGACAAGUUAAUCAUAGGAAAGGAACAGGUUUCCUGUUGCAAUACAGGAUUAGGGCUUCUUAGACGAGUUAGUCAUAGGAAAAGCUAUAAAUGUAAAGGAAAAAAAUAACAACUAUACCAGUAUCAUAUUGGUCAAUGAAGAUACAUAGUAAUCUGAGAAUCAUCAAUCAUCAUAACUAAAAUAUCCAAAAAAUUGUGUUAAUCUUCACUAAGGAGCCUUCAAGAAAAUGGUAAAUUUGUGAAUCCAAGUAUGAGUCAAGGCAAUGAUAUGUGCCAUAAUUUAACAUGCAGAUUUACUCUAAUCCUAUUUCACAUUUUCACUCAUUUUGACGUACCUUGAAAUACCUAAAGUGAGACAGGAAUCAGAUCUUAACAGAGCUUUCUUAGAGCAAGGAAUGCACUGUUUUGACUAGGGCCAGUUGGAGAAUGGGAGGCAGAGGUUAAGAUGGGACAUGUUAGCAUGGAUGAGUCCAUCAAUUGUGUAUCUUAAGCUGGUUAAUUGAGUUCGAUUGACAAUUAUUAAAAAUAAUUUUAUGAAUUCCUUGCUUAUUCAACUAUAUGGAUGCAAGCAUUUUAGAUUAGUUUCUAUAAUCAGUUUGAGGAACUUUUCUAAUCUUAUCUUGUUUCAAAUAGGUGCAAGCAGUACCACCGAAUCAAGUGAUGUCGGAAGGUGCAUACAUGCUUUUCUACGCGAGGUAGGUCAGUCUACUUUGGUACAAUGUUUGGUUAACACAUUUUUACUUGCUGUAUCAUGUAAUCCUCAGAUCUUUUCCACGGCCCCCUCAAGCUCAUACCGAGAAAAAAUUAUCACAUCCUCCAACUUUUGCAAAGCGGAGUGUGGUCAAGAGCCAGAAAUCUUCAAAACAUGGGCAACAAAGACAAGAUGGAAGCUUACAUGCCUCAGAAAAUUUGGUGAACCCUAGAAAUCAUAUGGGAAAGGAACAUGGUGAAGAUACCACGGACCAAGCUGCUGAUCACAUCUCAAGGCCUUCAAGUAGAAACAGCCUGCCGGAUGGAACAUAUCCAGAUACGUCGAGCAUGGAAUUUUCUGAUGCUACAUCUAGUGAUUGGCAUCUUUUCACAAGUUCCGACGAUUCAUCAUUCACCACCGAGAGUACCAGAGAUUCAUUUAGCACUGCCGAUUAUGGAGACAAUACUAGCAUCGACACUAUUUCCUCUAUAUUCAACCCCUUCUACGCACCAAGUUAUGUUCAUGGCAAUGCGGUUUCGUGCACAAAAUUCCCACCUUGUAGGCCACAGACAAGAUUCUUCAUGGAUAGCACAAGUGGAUCCUUAGUUGCCAACUCAGCAUUUCGGCGGUGUACAUAAAGGAAGGGAUCUGGAACAAGCCUGUGCUUCGACUGAACCUUCAUCUUCGGCAAGUCACUGUAGUUUGUAUGGUCAGUGGGGAGUAAUCCCAAAUAUGGCUUUGUUCUUCUAGCUUCUGGAUUUUGUGACAUGUUGUUAGAUUCUCUUAGAUCUAGUGGAGCCUACUUAUUCUGACUGGUCCCGAAGCUGAAGUUGGAUGCGCCUCUUGUUUUUUAAUCCCCGAUGAGGCGCGCCUAAUCUUGGAGGCAUUUGUCAGGGUGGACAAGAGGCAUCAUGUACAACUGGAGUAAUUUAGUGUAGAUUCUGGCUUCUUGUUCCAUUGUGGUGGUAAAAAAAGAAGAGUUGUUCUUAGAAUGUUAAAACCUUGAUGGUCUCUUAGCAUAUGGUGAUGCAUGUUUGUCCAGCUUUAUGUGAGCUAGGUUUUUGUGACCUGGAACUCUUCUUGCUGAUGCUAUGGGAAAUGCAGCAGUAGAAUGAAACCCUAAUGGGCACACAGGCCUCAAUGCCAAUGGCUUGUGUGCUCCAAUGUAUUCUAUUCCUAUGAGCUCACUGAACCAGAGAUUGUGGAUGCCAUGUCUCAUUCUUUCUUGGUCAAAGAUGUGACAGAGCGCAUGGAAAGAACCAAAAGAUGCCCCCUAGGGAUUCUGUGAGGAGCUCCAGAAUUGACUCUCUCUCUCUCUCUCUCUACAAGAAAGGAAAGCCUGGUAACUCACAUUUGGUAUUUAGUGGCCCAAAAGUGUGGAGCUCGUAAUGGGCCGCCCGUUUGCCGUAUCAGCCCAUUACAAACUAUUCUUUCAUUAAAGAUUUUAUUUUGUUUACUACGUGAAUAAAAAUUUUAAAAUAAUAAUUUAAAAGUAUUUUUCGAAAAUAGAGAAAAUAUUAUUAUUUUUUCUUUUUUUGAUGAUGUAAACAAUUUCAAUCUGUUUUUUUUGUGUCUCGUCAAUCAUUAUUAAUACGUCACAACAAAUAUACUUUAAUUAAUACCCCCAACAACUGAUGUUAGAUUUAUGAAUCAUGAAGUUUUGACGGAUUCCAUGUCACAAAUUGAUGUCAUUGUCUCGAACUCGAACUCAAAAUGGUUUUAGUCCUCGUUACUAUUCAUCAUCCGACCUAUAAGAAAGAAGUACUAAAAUGACUCGAUUGUCCUCACUCAUGAUUUGAAUUCGGAUUCUCUUGGAAUCUUUUGUUACCAUAAGCUUUAAUUUCUCUCUAUUUCUAAAAUUAAUAAAAAGUAAAAAAAAAUCCCCCUUUAUCUCAAUUUCCUUCAACAUAAAACCUUUAUUUAAAGUCAAUGAUUUUUAAUUCUACCUCUAAAACUUUUAACUUUGGUACAUAUUCCUUGAAAACCUAGAAAUUGGAUACCUUUUUUGUUUUCUUAUAAUUAAGAUUUUAGAUUCAAUAUUGGCUUUGUUGCUAAAUUUAUGUUAAAACUACUUCAAAAUAGAAUCAUUUUCAGAGGAGUAGUUGGGAUAUCACAAAUAGAGAAAAAAGAUAUUUUCACUUUGGCCUUCAAUGCCAUUAUAUUGUUUUUUUUUUAAAUAAAGUGUAAUAAUUUCAAAUUUAAAUAUAUUUUUAUUAUACAAUCUCAUUAAUAUUUUAAACUACAAAUAUGUUCAUAUAUAUAUAUAUAUAUAUAUAUAUAUAUAUAUAUAUAUAUAUAUAUAUAUAUAGGUAAAAAAAUUAACUCCAUUUAAGGUUUUUAUUGAAGCAUUUUUUAUAUUAUGUGAUUAUAUUUAAAGCUGUUAUCACUAAAAAAUGUCUUAUUAUUAUAUGAAAAAUUAAUAUGGCAAUGAAGAGAUGAAGAGAAAAUGGACAGCAUAGGAGGGAGACGAUGACGGAGGUUUCAUGAUGAAGAAGGAAGAAUGAGCCGGAGCAUAUUUAUUGUGAAGGAUAGAACACCGACAAGACAUCUUUAAGGUGGUGUAAUGGUCGUAAUAAUGGAACAGCAUCUUUGUUAUUGUGAGGAGAGGAGACGACGUAAAGGAAGAGAGAGAGAGAGAGAGAGAGAGAGAGAGAGAGAGAGAGAGAGAGAGAGUAUCAUGUUAGUAUAAACAUAAAAAUCAUAAUUAUAUUAUAGUUAUUUUAAAAAAAUUAAUAUCAACAAGUUUUUUUAAUAUUUUUAUUUUUAUAUAUAAUGUCAAAAAAUUUAUAAAAUUAUAUUUCAUUCUAAUAUUUUAUUAUAGGAUUAUUACAAAUUCAAGAUUCAUAUUAAUUGUAUGCAUAUCAUCAUAUAUAUACACAGAUUCAAAAACUAAAUUUCAUUAAAUUAUGAUGAGCUUACUAUCACCAAAUAAGAAAUAAUUCUAGAUAAGAAUUUAAAUUUUAAGAAUUAUAAAAAUGUAUACACUUAAGAUCCAUCAUGAUAAGUACCGAUUAUUAUCUUUUUUACUUUAAAAUAUUUUUUAUAAUGAUAAAUAUUUCAUAUUUGUCUAGUUUUCAUAUUAAAAUAAAUUUUUAUUAUUAAAAAUAUAAAUUGAAGUGUCAAAAUUAAUCCACCAAGUAUUAGAAAAGGAUUUAUAUAAUGUUUGAUUGAAAACAUAUAUUAGGGACUUGUAUUGUUAAUAGCACUUUAGUAUAAAGAUUUUUUUUUCUUUUAUGAGUUUAUAUAAUAUUUAUAAACUCAAGUGAUUUACACUAUAAUUUUUGUUUAUUAUUAUACACUCUUUGAAUAGUAUAUAUAAUAUUAUGAAUUUUUUUUUUAUUUUAAUCUUAAUUCUUUCUAAACACAUAUACUAGUCAAUUCAUUUAAGAUUUACUUAUCUUUAGCUUUAUUAUAGUAAAUUUUAAAUGAGCCAAACUAAAUGGAAAUAAAAUUAAUAAUAAAUUAUAUAAGAAAAGACUCAACCAUAUUCAUGCAUAUCUAAUGUUUUUAGGGUACAAUUUUGUCAACCAUGUUGAUGAAAUAAUUUUAAAAUUUUAAAUACUAUUAUACUAAAUUUUAAUAUUUUUUAGUAAGAUAUUAGCUAAUGACUUGUUAGUAAAUUUAAAUUUAUCUUUAAAUAUUCUAAUUUGUUAGUUUUAGACUAUAAUUAAUUCUAAAUAUUAUUUGUUAGUGUCCAUUCGAUGUUGGUUGCGACUAGCAAACGUCAUCGUAGUGGUAUUGUUGUAGUCACCGUAGGUAACGACACUACUGUAGUCACCUACGACCAAGAUAGGUUGGUCGUUGCAGGCUACUACUACACAUAGGCAUCUGUUGCACCUCAUUGUGCUUCUACCAUAUAUAAUAACAAUUGUACACAGUCCGCGACUAAGCUAAUGACCAUGGAGGCCACCAAUCUCAACAAUGCAUUCGCUAAUAAUAGACUAUUAAUGAUAGUCCAUUAAUUAAACAUGAGAAAUCUCACAUCGCUCACAAGCAAGCAAUAGGAAAGAUGAGAUAUAAAAGUAGAUUGAUAAUUCACACAAAUUGUUUAAGUAUCAUACAAUCAAAACCAUAUAAUAAUCUUUCAUAAUCGAAGGAUACUAAUAAACAUAUCUAAAUAAAAUAGAUCUGACAUACUUUAUAAUCAAAAGUAUUUGAUUUCAAAAUAUGAUUAUGAUACCAGAAUAAAAAUCAUAAUUAUGCUAUUGUUAUAUAAAAACUUUAAUAUCAGAAAUCGAAAUCAAAUAAAGAAGAUCAAAUUUAUGAUGCAUAUAUUUUAAUUUUAUUAAAAAAUAUUUAUUUGAUCUAUGAGUGCAUCGUGGUAAGAUCCGGCUCGUCUUCUCCCCUCUUUUUAUCCUUCAUAGGAUAAUUAUAAGUUAUGAAAUAAAGAACGAGAGAGAUUAAAAAUAAAUAUAUAAUCUUAAUAUAUAUUAUUUUAUCCCUAUCAAGUUAUGUACUUUUAUAUAGACUAAAGCAGAUAAAUUAAAGCGAUGGUUUAAUCACUUAUUAAGGAAUCAUAUCAUAAUUAAAAAUUUUUUUUAUCAAUAAUUAUAAUCAAAUCUAAUAAGAUUUAUAAUAUAUUUUAUCUAAUUAAAUAGAAUAAUAUAAUAUAAUAAUCAGGUCAAUUUUGUACGAAUUAAAUGAUUUUUGUCGAUGAGCAAGAGAGUUUUCAGGUUAAAAAAAAAAGAAAUCUUUUUGGUGGGCUUUUACAGCAGCUGUUUCAAUUGCUGGGCAAUGGUGGGAGGGUGAUGGAGCUCAUUCCACUGCUCUGCUCUGCUCUGUUUCAUAUAUAUUUUUUAUAUGAUGACGUCCAUAUACGAUCUUCUUGGAAGAUGAGAGGAAUGACCGGUGGUCUCUUUUCCCUCCGUCUUUAGGAAUUAAGGUGUUGUCCUUUGGGAGCAGUUCCUGAUGCUAGGAAGAGCAAAAAAGCUGAGAACUUGUGAACAGUGGCAGAGUAUGAAUGGAAUGACAGAGGGAGGGACUACGCUCGUCAUGAAGCGAAGCGCAGGACUAAUAACUGCACUGUCAGCGGUCAAGUGGAACUCAGAGAGAGAGAGAGAGAGAGAGAGAGAGAGAGAGAGGUGCAGCGGUGGGAGUCGCCACUUUAGAUCUCGGUUCAAAAUCUCUCCUUUUCUUCUCUUUCUCUUCCUCUUCUGGUGAAUAAAACUGGACCAGAGGCGACGGGGUCGGGUCGGUUGGCUAUCUUUUGACGUGCGACGAUCUGUACUUGUGUGAGGGAUUUGGUGGAGGAAAGGCCGCGUCUUCUCUUCCUCAACCCCUGCGUUGCGUGACCCAGUGGGGCUACUGGUUACGUAGUUUCGAUAUGGAGAGGCGUGGUUGGUGGGGGUGAUCUCUUCUUCCUGGUGUCCUUUUCUGAAUCCUCAGGGUGCGUAGGGUGAGGAAAAAUUCGAUCUUGCGCCGCGUUUAAGAUCGCCGGUCCUUUGCUUUAUUCGAUCCCUCCCUCCGUGUCGUUUCUGCCCAACUUUUGCAGGGGGAGAGAAUAUUUGGAUCGCCGGUUCCUCUUCCUGCGCCCCUUUUUUGAACUCCCAGAUGAGCUUAUGUGCACAAGCGAAGCCCUUCGUUGGUCUUCCACUUUUGAAUCUGGACUCCGUUCAUCUCUCUCUCUCUCUCUCUCUCUCUCUCUCUCUCUGUGCGCUGCUUUUUUUUUGUGUAAUGGGCAUAGGUUAUGGGUUUUACGUGGAGCUGCGAUUAGUUUAAUGGCAGCGAGGUGGUGGUGGGGAAGGCUUCCUUAUCCUUUGGGUCACCCUGCGACGUACUUUUGUCUUGUAAUGCUGUUCUUCACGAGGGUUUGACAGAGUUUUCCUUUUGAAAAGAUCCCAUCUUUCCAUCUUUUUUGGCCGAAUUCUUCUUCCUUCGGUUUCCCCUUGUGUUGUUCGAAGCGCUUCUUUAAUCAUUGUAUUGCCUCUUUUUUAGCUUUUACCUCCUCACUGUGAGAUUCCCUGCUCUCUUGUUCUUUUAGGGUGUGUGAGACCACCGCACUCACAUCCACUUCUCUUGAGCUGCUGUGCUCCUUGUAGGACCUUCAAAUCACUUGGCUUUGUUGCUACAGUCCGAGAAAUGGGCCGGGCGACGCGGUGGCUGCGGAGCCUGUGGGGUGGGAAGAAGGAGAGCAAGGAUCCCAAGGAGUACUCCCGCUACAGCGGUGGCGAGGACAGGAGGGAGAAGAAAAGGUGGAGCUUCGGGAAGCCAGCCAGGGACGCCGGGGAGGUGGUGCUCGGCCAGAAUGCUUCGACGGCGGCGGCGGUGGAGGCGGCGUGGUUCAGGUCCUUCUACGCUGAGAGCGACAAGGAGCAGAGUAAGCACGCCAUCGCCGUCGCCGCUGCCACAGCUGCGGCCGCCGACGCAGCGGUGGCGGCGGCGCAGGCUGCGGUCGCGGUCGUGCGGCUGACGACCAGGGGGACGGGCGCCGCUCUCGACAGCUGCCGCGAGCGGUACAUGGCGGCGGUCAAGAUCCAGACAUCAUUCAGGGGAUACUUGGUACUGAAACCAGCUCACCUUGGUUCCCUCUGCGUGCUUCAUGCUCGCCUUGUUCUUGCUAAACGUCCCAUAUUUUCUGAUCCUAAUCAAUGACAUCAUCCUGUUCUUCCAGGACGAGAUUUAAUCCCUUCUGGUUUGCGAUUUUGCAGGCAAAGAAAGCCCUCCGAGCUCUCAAAGCACUAGUGAAGCUACAAGCUUUAGUUAGAGGCUAUCUGGUACGCAAGCAAGCCACAGCUACUCUUCGUAGUAUGCAGGCCCUCAUCAGAGCUCAGGCCACCGUCCGAGCUCAGAGAUCUCGAAAUCUUCUUCCACAUGACCGAAGGUUUCAGCUAGAAUUCCGCCAUCGGCGAUCGUUGGUACGCUUCCAACACAGGCUGCUGCGCCAUGUAAUGCUGCGUUGCUCGGUUCGCUAUCUGUUUGCUUUGGUCGCAGGAAAGGUUCGAUGAUACGCGGAGCGAGAACACGUCGUCGUUCCACAGUAGAAGGCUCUCCGCGUGCCUCGAUAAUGUCUCGAACAGCUUCGACCGGAGCCCGAAGAUUGUCGAGGUCGACACCGGCCGCCCGAGGUCGAGGUCUUCCCGACGAAGUACUCCAUCUGUCUUAGACCCCGCCGAAGACUUGCACUGGAGCUCCAUCACGUCUCCUCUCCCAUGCCAGAUUCCGGCGAGGAUCUCCGUCCCCGACUGCCGGGACUUCCAAGACUACGACUGGUGCCUCGCCUUCGAGAAAUGCCGACAAUCUGCAACCGCGCAGAGCACCCCUCGCUGCGCAAGUUCAUGCAGCAACUGGCCAGUCACUGGGGCGAAGAGCGUGUGCGACGAGGACGGAGUUCUCCGCCGCUUCUCGAACGUGCCGAGCUGCCCCAACUACAUGGCGAGCACGGAGUCAUUCGAGGCGAAGUUGAGGUCUCAGAGCGCUCCGAAGCAGCGGCCGGAUCCGGCCGGGACGAGGAAGAGGCUGCCUCUGAGCGAAGCGACGGUGGAGUCCAUGGCUGCUCUUAGCGGAGUGGGAUUCCAGAGGCCCUGUUCUCGAGCUCAGGAGGACUUCAACUUUAGGAGUGCUGUCGUUGGGAAAAUCGACCAGUCCUCCGAGUUGAGGAGGGAGGCAGAGGAAGAGUUCUACUUGCCAAGGAAGUGGUAAUGCAGGAACAGAGUCAUAAGAUUAUUAGAACAAGAGGAACAUAGAGAGAUCUGUACUUCUUUCUCUGGAUCAUUUCUUUUGCUGUUGUGUUCACAGCACUGGUGGAGAGAGAAGCAUAGUGUGGUUUCCAUGUAAAUUCUUGACAAAUCUCAUCUUCCUCAGGAGAUGCAUUGUUUCCUUCCAAGUUAAUCAUCUUCAACCUCUUUAUCUACUGGACUUUGUUGGACUGGUUUGCAUGUGCCUCUUUUCUGCAGCUUAUCCUUGGGUUAAAAGAAACAAAGAGACACCAAAGGUUGCUCAACCAUUCACUCAUACCCAUAGCGAAACACAAAGGAAAAGGAUCAUCUGAUGUACUUUGGCCAAAACAUCUGUAACCACUCAGAUCAAUACUGCAAUAAAGUUUUGUUUCACAAGAAGAAGAAAACACACAAAGUUUAUGGAACCCAAGAUGGGCAUAAGUACCCGAAGAGUGUGAUCAAUCCAAGAAAGCAAGACAUAGACAACUUCUGAAGCUCCACUGGCUUCUGAAGCCAAUGGAUGAGGAGUUAAGAAAAAAAGCUCACAUAGACAACUUAUCAUAAGGUAAAGGAAAAGAACUCCACAAGAUUGAAGGGUGGGCAUGGUUUUCAAAGAUGAGAUGACACAAGUCAUGUGGGAGGUCUGAGAGGGUCAGCAGAUGAGCAGCAGGUUGCUGACCUGAAAACUUUCCACUCCCUCCUUCAUGUUUCCUUUUCAGCAAUCAUUAGGUUUUGCUAUGAUUGAUGAGAGAGUUUGGGAGUGUGUGCACACAAAACACCAUGUGGACUUUCCUCGGUGCUCUCAGUCUCUCCCUACGCUGCGUGCACUGUCGCCUUCCAAUCCCAGGGCCCGUAGCUUGCAUCACCUUGCCUCACGACUCCAACUGGAGUUCCUAUUGCCACCGUCCUCUUGACCCCUCGCCCUUUGGCCACUUCCGCUGCUCUCCUCCGUCACCACAGCUUCCUCCACGACCCUAUCUCUCGACUGGCACAGCAGCCCGUGUCCUUGCUCCACUCCACCGAUCGAGUGCAUCGCUGCUGCAUGCCGCUCCUCGUCUUCCUUCUCGAACGAGGUGACAGCAUAACGGACUGAACCACACGAUCACAUUGCUCGAUCGGCAUGAAGCAUCACGUUAAUGGUGUCACCUCAGCGUGAAACAAUCUACGAAGUUGAUGCUUGUAGGUACGUAGGAUUAUUGUCCUUGUCCUUUUCUAACUCUCAUCGAUUAAUUCGUUGCUCCUAUGAAGCAUUGAUAUGAUAGUGCACCAGUUCUUGUUCCAUGUUCUAUCACGGUUGAAGUACUAUGAGUGUCCGAUUACUGUUUUGAGGAGUUCAGCAAGGUCAAGGCUAACGCUAUCCUAUGAAAUUAAUAUUAUUAGUUCACGCAGGGUUUUAGAAUAGGGGUCAUGAAUAUAAUAAUGUCAUGACCUAAUGGAUCCAAUCUUAAACAAAUGAGGACAAGGAAGUGGGACAAGCUUACCUGAUGGGAUGAACAUUCAAAAUUUCCCUCCAAACUCGGCACCACUAAUCUACACUACAGUGAUACAGUGACACACACACAUAUAUAUAUAUAUAUAUAUAUAUAUUUGCUCGCUAUUCAUUUCUAUCACUAUAAACAAGAAUGAAAGAAAAUAGUUACUUGAGAGAGCUUCUCAUGGGUUGAAGAAAUGUUUUACAGCUUGCAAAGUCCAGGAAUUCGCUGCAGGAAUGGAGGCAUGACCCACAAAGGCACAUGUAAAGGGACAUGGUUGCAAACCCCCAAACGCCUUGUUCCUGCCUCAUGUCUUCCACUGGUUCAUGCCAGUGUCAACUAGGCUGAAAAGAAGAGGAAGAACAAUAAUUACCACACUGUGAUAACCUUAUCUAAUAUGAUAUGUGCUAUAGCAGAUGGUUUUGAUCAGUAUACCAGACACUAUCUAACCCCAAAAGUACAUUCUAAGUUUCUAUAGACAUGCAACGGAAAGCAACACACAACAAGCAUGCUGAAGAGAAAGACGACAAGCAUGAUAAAUGUUACAGAAGAGAGGUCUCUCAACGUAGUAGUUUACACAAACAGGUACAAAUAACAACCAGAUUUUGCAACAAAACGCCCAAAAUAGACCACAAGCUCGUUAUUCCUCACGCUCAUUGCAAGUUCAGGUAGAUUCAAGGGUUUAACACCAACGACACGACUGGCAGAAAUAGACUCCAUAAAGUCCAUCCAAGGAUUUAACACCAAAGACACGACCGGCAGAAAAGGAUCGGGGCUCCAUGGCCAUGUUCAAAAGCCCUGAUCAAAGAGAUAGUCGCCAAGCCUCUCCACUACCAUAUUGCAUUGACCAGGCGUCAUGGGCUCAUUAUAUAUGCCAAUGAUCAAAGCCAGAUUGGUUUUCUUGAUGGUGACACCGCCAGAACCCUAAAUAUUUAAAACAAGUCAACGGUCAGCAGAAAUUGUGGCUGAAGACAUUAUUUACCAAAAAGUAUCAGAUUGCGUUUCUUAAUUAUGUACUCCACUGGGAACAUGUAUGUGUGUGUUCUUUUAUUUUAAAUAUGCCACUGCAACAUUCAUAUAGCCAAUUUUUCAAUAAAUAAUGCAAAACAGACUCUGGACGAUGAGCAUAGGCAAUGACAACACAGGCAAUUAUCGUGUUUUGUCAACACAUCAGUUAGUAAGAAACAAGCUGAUAGAUAGCCAAAUGGGAAUCAAACAUUCUCAAUAUAGUUUUUUUCACAAUGCAUUGAGAUGAUCUAACCAGCAGACUGAAUAAACCCACAAAGCCAUUUACAAUGCAUUUUAACACAAAAUUUUGCCAUAAAAGACUGAUGAUUGAUUGCUAUAAUAUCAAAAGGUUUAUAAAACAAACAACAUUCUCGAUGUUCAUAAAGAAAAUCUGAGUUAUCAAAUUGUAUGCGCUCUAUAGUUCAUUGUUUCCCAUGUUUAAUUUAUUUUUAUCUUCAUUAUAUUAUUUUAUAACAACAACAACAAGAUGUUGUAAUGUCUCAAUUAUUUGGUAUAGGAAAGAACAACAUAAUGCAGGGAGUCCCAUCAAUAUGAGGCCUAGAGAAAAUCAAUGCACAUAGCCGCCUUAGUUACAGAGAAGCUGUUUCCAUUUACUGGAUCCCUAAUCUAUCAGGUUAGAUAGAAUAAACCUUACCUCACACCUUAACCUUUAGAAAAUUUAAAGUUGAGCACUACUGACAAAACCAGUAUUUAUGUAUUGACCCUUCUCAAAACAAGUUGACAAGUCAUCUAUGGAGAAACUACCACAUAAAUUACUGAAAUCAUUAAACAAUUUGUUAAGUGUUACAAGUAUAUUACUGAACAUUAAUCACUUGAAAAAUCAAGUGAGUACCAUGAAUGAGACAUUCUUUGUAACAAAGUUGAAAUUUCAUGCACUUGAAAUUCUGAAUCCAUACUAAAAAUUGCACGAAUUUAGUCUAGUCCAUAAAUGGGAUGUAGAAUUCUGACCUUCUUCCCUCGAAUAACAGCUCCUGGUUCCCCUUGGAUGACCAUGUACUUCGUCCCACCAAGGUAUAAACCAGUUGGAGCAAGAGACCCAGGUUCAUCGAAGUCUUUCAUAAUUGCAGCAAUCUCUUCAGGCUUGCACUGCACAGUUAAUAAGAAUAAAGCUAUUGACUGAAUAAAUAAAAGAUAUAGAAAGAAUCCUCGGAACGAUCAGAUAGUGCAUUAUAUUGAAUAUUUGCACUGACAAUCGGAGAGAAAAAAAGCCUUGAAAUAAAAAAAAAGCAAAUAAAGUAACACACUUUUCUUUUUUAUUUUCAUGUCAUCCACAAGUAAAUGUCCAUAUUCAUUGACACAAAGGCAAACAUAUUCAUGCCACAUAUCAACAGAUGUAUGGGUAUCAAAUGUAUAUCUGCAUAAUGUACACAUGAUAUCUUGAUCAUUAUACUUCAUAAACAUAAUUUAACAGUUACUCAUUGACUAACUUAAGAAAUUAGCAAGCUCACUUGAUAAAUUUAUACUCUAAGCUAUAUAAAAUUAUAAAUAAUAAAAGUUCUUCAAAACCACUAUAUGAUGAGAAUGCCUUUGGAUUAACUGACGACAUCAUAUCCCUUUGUAAAAUGAUGAGAAACUAACCUUGUUCUAUCUUAGUUGUUAUGAUGUGACCCAAUGAGAUAACUGACCCAUUAGGAUGAUAAUAGUAGAAGACUCAAAUCAAAGCUAAUAGUAGAAGACUCAUUUAGUUCUCGUAGACCAAUUCAAUUCAAACUAAAGUUGAGGUAUUGCAAUAUUUCAUCACUUAGGGCUUCACAUCAUCGUCAAGACCCGACAUAUCUUAGAAUCAAACCUCAGUGCAACUUGAGGGUCAACAUAUUGGUGGUUUCACAUAGUGAUGUCUCUUUGGCCAUAUCCACAUGUAUCUAGCUCUUUCCUAUUUGGGUUCCUCAACAUGAUUAAUACUAAGUGUGUUCUAAUACCAUUUGUCAUGAUACCGUUUGAUGAGACAACUAACUCAUUAACUUGAUAGUCUAGAAUCAUAUGGUCUCUAGUAAAACUCAUCUAGCUCUUAUAAGCCAACUCAAUUCACUUUCCACAUCCAAUGUGAAACUAUUUGGAGUGUUAUAAUCUCUCCCACUCAUAUUAGGGAAGUUCACAAUAAGUUUAUUUGCAAUGAUCCUAUAACAAUAAUUAUCGCCACCACAAACAUUUAAUGAUCCUACAAUAGAGGCUGAGCUCAACGGUCUUAGAGGAUAAAGAACCCUUGACAACUCCGUCUACAUCGUUUUGUAAUUAAAAUAAAAGAACCAAAAUUGCUCACGUUUCGAAAUUGUAUUGACCUCUAAGAGCCGAAGCUUAAUAUCUUACAGUAACGAAUGCAACAACUAAUGUCACUUGAGCAUGAAAUCCGGAAUUAGAUUCCCUCUCGAAUCACCGUUGGUAAUCCCUGCAGAAACUAACACCUGAAAUUUAAUGCGAUGUAAGAAAGUCACAUGAUUUGAUCUGCCAUCCAAUCCCUCCCAGCAAAGUUCCCGUUGCUCCGACAAGCAAUGGAUUAGUUAAAAAGCAUGAUCGGACACUUACCAACAUCCAUGAAGUCAAAUUCUUCGUCGACAGGAAAAUCACAACCCAAGGGGAUCGAAUCUACGACGAACCAACAGUCCUCGAUCAGAUAGAGAAAACCCCUCCCCAGUCACUUUCACCACCGACCACAGAAAAAGGACCCAAAGAUAGAUCUCCGGCUCCAAUCAUCAUCGGCCAGAUCCAAAGAUCACAACACGAUCCGAUCGAAUCUAACUAGAACGACGGGCAGGAGAAUCAAGCGAGGCUACUAGGAGAAGCGAAAGGAAGGAUACCUGAGGGAAGACGUCGCUCUGGGCCCAGACGCUGCCAUCGUGGCCGACGAUGGCGGCGGCCGUGAGACACUGGCCAUCGAUGUCGCACAACAAAUGGUCGUCAACGUACGUCUGCCAAGACAUCGUCCUUCCCCUUCUUCUCCGGGCGCUCGCCUCGGCUCCAACGCGUGAGCAGUAAGCGCUCGCCUCCUCUGCUUAGGGUAACUCCCACUCGCAUAUAUACGUAUAUAUAUGGAAGAAUCGACGGGUGAGGGAGGGGCAAUAGAAUAACGAUAUCGUCGGAGGUGGGAAAUGUAAAAGGCGCUGUGGGCCUAAAGUCCAAUAGGUCGUCGGAUGGGCAGUGGGCCCCAAUGGGCCUAAGAAUUAAGAACGGUUAACUAAAAUGAUACAGAUCAGAGGCUAUCUUUCAAGUUAUCAUAAGUUUAGUAAAGGGAGAUGAUAGGUUUGAUAAUUAGUUUUGUAAAUACUUAUUUGGAAUAUUUUUAAUAAAUAUCCCUUCGAUGUUUGAGAUCAAGAACUAAAUGAACCUUUAUGUUAGACGCUAAGUCGAUAUCAUAAUUGAACGUAAGACUGAUGAGAUAGGAUGAUAUCAUAUUUCUUACGUGUUAGAACUUCGAGAACAAUUGAACUCGAUAACCAAAAAAAAUUUCAUGUAGUUGACCUCAACGACUAAAAAAAUAUUCAUAUUAUUUUUCCCAAAUAACUGAAACAUCAUUCUUUAAUUCGGUUUGUAGAGUGUCAGUACCAAAAUAACCUCAUCGAUGUACAUUAAUAUACUGUUGUUGAUCGCAUAGUGAUAGCGAGAUGGCCAACCAUGUCUCCCAUUUACAUGGCAUAAAUGCAUGAGUGCAUGUGAGCUCCAUCGAGGCCACAACAAUAAUGUCAUUUCAUUAAUAAUUUUGUAUAUAUAAAUCUUGUGUACACCAAUAAUGUCAAGUCAAAAUUAACCCAAAGUCAAACUAGACGCUUAGAUUACAUUGGAACGUACUCUCCAUAUCACAUAAGUUAUAUCUCGACAAGAUCGAGCUCAUACCCACUUGUGAUCGCACAUCCCACCGCCCUUUUGAUCCUUGGAUUCUUUGUAGGCGGGAGCGAAGUGGAUGAUUGCAAGCUCGCGCUGUGGCAUCGUCGUCUAUCCACGCAUAGACAGACCAAAGCUUUGUUUUGGCUUCUUGCUUUGCUUUGAACUAAAGAUUAUCGCUGCACGGCCUUUUGAGCGACCAUUUAUCAAAGCUGCCUCUUUGUUCAGCGCUUUGCAUGGAGUGGUCCUAUCGAGAUUUGUCGCUAAAGAAGAUAAAGCCUACAGCGAUUACUUGCAGGGGACGGGAGCAAUCAUUCGUGCUUCAUUGUGAUCGAAGCAAUCAUUGGCAAUUUCCCUUUGCUUACCGAACCCACCACGGAUUGACCGCAACGGGGUACGCACUCGACGGCCGCAUAGAAGAUGGAGGACGACGAGGCGCGGUCGCAUGACGGGCCGCACGUCUUUUCUUGCCCACCGCCACCACCAGCCGCUUCCCCUCCCUAAUUCCCUCCGCGAUCGCGGGUUCCCCGCCCCGCUUCUCUCUCUCGUUUGGUCUUGCACCUGCGGUGGUAAGUCUCUUACUUUACUACCAAGGCUACCUUGAUGCCAGCUACACUCUUCGAUGUGACCCAGGAGACGGGGCAAGGCAGAUCUACUUCGGCAAUUCUUCUUCUUCUUCUUGCUGGUACGCCCCCCACCCCCAUUCUAUGUUCUCGUAAUGGUUGCUCAUGUUUGGUCGUCGGUCUCUAGCUUGCUUACUCGCACAUGGUGAUCUCUGAGACGAUGCUUUCCCCUGCGAUUUGCCGUCGUUCUUUCAUUCGUGGCUCUCGUGUAGGGAAAUUGAUCUGGCUCUGUCGAGUUUGAUAUCCGGAUUGAAUUAGGUACGAUGCGCAGGUCUGGGGAGAAUGGUGCUGUAGUUUCUGUUGCUGGUGUAUCUUUCUUUCUUUCUCCGAUGGGCGGUAGCCACUCAAAUCAAAGCAAUUUUUUGGUGGUAACAGUUCGAGCACCUUUGGAUUGUUCGUAGAAAUAAGAAAGUUGCGGUCUGGUGCUCCCAAGCUUGCCGAUCGAAGAUAGGGGGUUAGUCACCGAGUUCAUCGACCAUCGGCGGUGGAGAUACCCUGUUCCUUUCAUCGGCUUUCAUUUUUUACUGCUGCGUCUCCUCUUGGCAUCUUUGGUUUGUGAACGAAAUGAAGCAUUUGAUAGUGAUUUGUGAAAGAAAGGAACUCAUGUUCUUUAGUCUUGAAUUAGAUCAGUUUUUAAGAAUCAACACCACUGUGAUGACAUGCAAUUUUGUCUCAAAUUUCCCUUUUUGCUACUGAAUCAUGUCAAAAUCAUGCCUCACUUUCUGAUUGUAGUACUCUUUCUUGUAGUUAUUAUCACUACUUGAGCAACUUAUGGACGCUGAUCUUUCUUACGUGUAUGCAGCAUUUUGCAUUUGUCAUACCGAAAGAGAUUGAAUGCGAAGUUUCUUUCUCCCUCAACAUGAAGCCAUGAACUCAUGAGAACCGAGUACACUGUCUUGUUGUGAGAGUCAUCAAUUGCUACCACUUCUGUUGCGUCAUACUAGGAAGCUAGCUGCAGUCAAGAACAAUGAAAGAACUAUGAUAGAAAUGGGAUUCAAUCAGAGUGAGAAGAUGAGAUCACUUCAGCACCGUUCCUCAAAAUCAUCCAAGGAGAACGGUCUCCCCUCGAGUGAAACCAAGAAUGCUCAUGUGUUAGAGAAGGUUGGAACCCUUAAAACCGAAAGGCUUCGAAAGCCAUGGCCUAGUAGGAAUGCGACCGGGAUCGAAGGACCAAUUAAGAACAUGUCGAAUGUACCUUAUUAUCUUCAGCGCAAAGAAAAUGGAGAUAAUAUUCAUGAGAAGGCACUGAACUUUGGAGUACUGGAUUGGGGGCUUCUCGAGAGAUGGGCAUACCACCAAAGAAGUGUCACAGAUGUGGGUGGUGGAGACUCUGCAUCUAGUAGCACCAUGUCAUCAACAUUUUCUACAUUUGGUUCUUCAAACCAAUCUUGUAGAACCAUGUCUAGUUCUCGAGGGAAGAAAUCUCCUUCAGCGUUUCAUCGUAAGAAACCACCUGUUCUGGACAGUUCAAUUAAGAUGUCUGAGAAAGAAAGCUCUGCACAUACAAAUGGCUUUUGUGGUUCAAGAAUCUCUUCUUCUUCUUCUUCUUCUAAGUUUCCUGUCCAGCAUGAGAGACAUUCCGAUAGAGAUUUUUGUUUAAUCGUUGACCACAAACUUGGUACAGAUGACAAUAAAAAUUUGGAUUCACAAGCCAUUUCAAGUGAAGUAUGCGUAGCUCUGCAUUCUGCAACUUCGCCUUCAGGAUAUAAGAUCGAUGACUCUCCUGCAACAAAAGUGGUGGAGGACCAAAACAGUAGCUUGAUGAAAGCAGAAAUGCCACAGGACUACCCUCAUAGCCUACCCAUAGCCGAUGAUAUGCUAUGGUUAUCCCUGGAUCGGAGAGAAAGAUGGGAUUAUCUUCGACAGAGUGUGGACGGUGGAUGUCUUAAUUCUGAUUCCCCGUUAACUAGUGAUGGCUGGCUGGAUGAGAGGAAUGGCAACAAUUAUUCAGGCAGUUUAGCUGAAGAUGUUGAGAUCAUCCGACAGUAUCCUCAUGUUCCGCAUUCAUGUCCUCUCCCACGGACAAUUCUGAAAGAUGAACCUGAUAUAUCCUGCACUCUUCCGUCGGAAAGUUCAGGACCAACCGAUAAAUUAUUUCCUAGAGAUCCUUGCAAGCAACUUGAAGUUAACACAAUCCAAGAAUCUAGAAAAUAUGGGGCAAAAGCUAUGGCUGUGACAGGGAAGAAAUCAUCUGACCAUCCAACUAGUGUUGGUUUAAGCCGAAUGAGCAGAAGUUGUAGUUUGAAGGAUGGUUCAUCUGAAGAACAAUUCGAGACAAGUUCUUAUCUAUAUAAUUCACAGGGAGAUCAAGCAACCAGAAAUAACAAAAGCCGGCAAAGCCCACUGAGGAGGAUACUUGAUCCUCUAUUUAAGCCAAAGAACAAUCUUCGUUUGACUGGGAUAGCUGCAGCCUUACCGGGCCGCCAUUCCUGUGAACUAAGUAGAACCGUCAAAGCAUUCCAUGGAUUGCACAAGCCAUCAAAACCAAGUGUUGAUUCUACAUGCCAGCCUAGGAGAAGCAUGAACGCUUCAAAUAGAUUGUCCAUCAAUGGCAAAGGAAUACAUCAGGAUGAAAAGCAUAUGGCAUCAGUGAAGCAAGCAUUUCUUCAACUUGCUUGGGAAAAUGGAUAUCCUUCGUUUAUAAUCUCGUCUUGCGACAGUGAGGUACUGGCAGCGACGACGACAAUGACAAGUGUCAGCAAUGAUGAUGGCCUUGAGUGCAUAUAUAAGUUAUUCUCCAUUAAAGACUCUAAGAAGAAAAGCAUGUUCUGGAGCAACCCUGUAAGUAAGGGCAAGAAGCAUCAGCUGACCUCCAAUGUUGUUGGCCAGCUGAGGGUUUCACUUUGCAAGUUGAGGAGCUACCAGUAUGACAAUUCUCAUGUCGUGAGGGAGUUUAAUCUGUUUGGUGCUGAAUCCACACCAACAUCUCACAAACCUGUUGACAAUCCAAUUAAGAGCGAGCUGGCUGCCGUCGUCGUUAAUCUACCACUGGAAAGGCCAAAAAGUACAAAUGUUGGUGAUUUGCGCUGCAGUGAAUUCAGAAGUGCUCCGAACGAAGAGAAACGUUUGCAGACCGAUCGGCAUGAUGUUGCUGUAGAUCGAUCUGGUGUAUCUGUCAUACUUCCGAGUGGUGUUCAUGGAUUGUCAACCGAUGGUGAGCCCUCACCUCUGAUAGAAAGAUGGAGAUCAGGAGGAGCUUGUGAUUGUGGUGGUUGGGAUGAGGGUUGCAAGCUAACCAUUCUUAGCGACAAGCUCCAAGAGUGCACCUCUGGUUCAUUCCAAGAUCGUCAAACUACAGACCGUACUUACAGAUUUGAGCUAUUCAUUCAGGUAUAUCCACUUGGCCAGUCAUUUGUUCCUCUUUCCAAACAUACUCUCUGUUGUUUUUCUUGUAGCAUUGGUGUCGAUGUAGAUAAUGCUAAUAAUUAACCUCUUCUUCUAGGGUGGAUCUCAAGAAAAAAGACAUGCCUUCAGCAUGGUUUCUUUCGGAGAUGGGCAGUAUGCUGUCGAUUAUCUAUCUUCCAUUUCUCUGCUUCAGGCUUUUGCAAUCUGCAUAGCAAUCCAUCAUGGCAGGAAACCUGACAAUUCUUCAGCAGAACCAAAAAGCUUCCGGGAACAUGAUGUCUGUGGUCAGUCAGGGAGAGCUCUUAGAGCGCAAGGUGAUCAUGCUAGCUAUGUACCGAAUCAUCCCCCUCUUUCUCCCGUCGGAAGAGCUUAAUCGUCUCCAUGGUACAUUAUAGCCUGGGUCGUGGUACUUCUGAAGAUGUUUCUUCCCCAAUUAGCCUGUUCAUUGUGGUAGAGGUGAAAGGAGCACUACAAAGUUGCGUCCAUAGUCUAUACAGAAAACAAUAGCAGUCUCUAUCUUAUGUAUACCGCUUCUCAAUGUAAAGAAGCUCAGAUUUUCUCAGUAAUACAGAUGAGGAAGCUAUUUUAGCUCAGAAUUACAGUAUUAUUGUCAUUUAGCAUCCUAAUAUAUCGACUAUAUAACUAUAGAUGUUCUCCGAGUCUUGUUAUCGUCCAUAUAUUCGACUUUUUUUUAUCGAGGUAGUUUCUGAAAUGACUUAGAUUUUCUCAAAAUUCAAUUCAUUGCCACUCCCAGCAGAAAAUCUAAAAGUGUUUUCUGGUCAUGCCAGUGCACAUUUGUUGGGAUUCAUGUGCAAAAGGUUUCUUGUGGGUUUGGUUGUAUUGAUACUCUUGACAAGGAUGUCAUCAACAUAUGUUGUAUAAUCAUGCUGAAAGUUCUUAUUGACUAAUAUGUGGUAUAUGAAUCAGACAUUGAUUAGACCAAAUGCAAUAACUACAUAAUGAUAUGCAUCCCUCUCCUCUUUCCAAUUACAAAUAGGCUUUCUCUGUAACAAGACCAGGUUUAAGCUUCUUUGUUUGAUGGCAUCCAGAACUGAGUGGCUCUUUUGAGAUCACCCCAAAGAGAAGCAUGUUUGAUUCUUGGUUUCUAACUCAUAUCCUUGAUGUUGAAGCAACUCUUAGCACUCAGAUCAUCCCUUUUUCUUUCAUAACAGGAAAUGAAAUUGCCAUGAAUUCAAGUCAUAAUUUUUGUGCAUGACAGAAAAAUAUUGAGUUCUCAAUGAAUGAUCAGUGGAACCCAAACUUGUCACCCCAAUUUCUCAAUGAAUGGUGACAUUCUUUCCCUUUUUCUUCUCCUUUCUCCCUUUUGGAUAAAAUCACACCAGGCAUGAUAAUGAUCUGUUUUCCUCAUUGAAAAAGAAGGCUGCCAGAUGUUCUUCAUGAAAGUUAAUGUUGCAAAAGUGAUGGUGAUCAAGAUCAACAUUUCAUGUGGUAUGUGUGAUGACAAAUAAGAUAAUUGUUGAAGAAAUCCUGGGAUCUUUUUAAGAGUCUGCUCCAGUUCUGUAACUAAGAAAUAUACCACUCUCAAAAUAAGUAGAUUAUUCUAUGUUUGAAGGUUUUAAUGCUUAUCAUCAUAUACAUAUAUAAUCUGCCAUAAUAUAGAGCUCAUAAAAAAGAAUUAAGUGUCUUCUUCUUCUUUUUAUUGAUUCUUUUGAAAUGAAUCCUUGUGUAUUAACAGAGGAAAAUAAUUAUGAACAAAUCAACAAAAAAAAUUGUGGAAAUUUUCUUCAUCAAAGUCCUCAACUAAUUAUGUAUCAGCUCUCAACACAUCAAUAUACUUGUUGUGUAGAAGCAUGCAAGUAGCAAGAAACUUAGAACAAGUACUCGUGACCUUCGACAGUAAUCCAAAAACUUUUUGCAGGGCCAUCAUGCAGUGCAUCAAGUUCUUCUUCUUCUUCCAGUAAAUGCUCAGAGAACCUGUUGAAGCAUGAGUGAAACAAACACUUAUAAUUGAUGAUGCAUGUUCUCCCUAUCAACUUCCUCUGGAGAUGACUUCUCUUAGGGCAUCUGAUGCACAAGAAAGAAAAAUACACAUGAUGGCAAGUACCAGAGGAAAAAGACCGUUUAAUCAGUAGCAGAAAGAAUAGGAAGGCAUGCAUAGAUUCCUCAGAAGCAAUCUUACUCUCAGGCAGUCAGCAGCCUGCUCGAACCUACCUACGCAGGGAUUUCUCCAUGGAAGAACAAAGAGGGAAGUCCACUGAAGGACGGGCGGAUAGUAAAAGUGGCCGGAGGAGGUAUCCAAAAAGAUCGCAUGAUCCGAUUACUGUCAAUGAAGUAAACGUGCCUCAAGGGAUCAAUGCGAUCCCUUUGGAUGCUCCCUGCAGCCACAGUUUCUGCAAGUGAAACAAUUCAACUCCUCUCUCUCUCUAAGUAACCCAAGUCCCAGUUAGAGAAAGAAGACAAUGGGAGGCUCUCCUUGCAGUGUGGGAUACAUAUAGAGAGGAUGCACACCUCACUCUCUAGGCUCUCUUGUUUCUGAAUUGACCUAACAUGACUACAACAUUAGAAUGUCAUCAUGGUCAGGUGGAGUUUGUGAUGACCAAUGUAGGUUUGUUUUUUGUUUGGGGAUAUCUUUUCUGAUAAUUAGAAUUAGGACUCGAGUGUUAUCUUAACAUGACAAAUCAAGCAUAGAAAGCAAGUUAGAUUACAAUCAAGCAAGCUCUUUCUUGUUCACUUCAAUCACGUCACCAUUGAUUAGAUUCCCCACCAAGCUUACUACUUGUCUAACCAUUCUAUUCUCUAGAGUUCCAGUAGAGUUAAAAUAUGGAUUCUUUGAGUAGUGUGGUCCUUAACCUGUGUCCUAAGUAGCUGUUCUAGGCAUAAACUGGUGCUACCCGUGGCCUUGAUUUACUAGCUUUGUGCAGCAUAAGAAUCGUAUAAGAACAGUCCUAUCUAUCCCAUGUGUUCAGUGCACCGGUUCCUUUCAUGGUGCAUUUCUCGAUGAAAGAUCUCAUGAACAAGUUUCUUGCUGCUGUGACCAAGCUAUGCUUGUUCCUUGUCCAAAGACCGGAAGGAGAAUCUGUUGGGGAUGGAGUAGCAAACAAAAAUAUAAAAAAUAGAAUAUUAUGAUAUAAUUUUAAAAAAAUUUCAAUCAAAAAAAUCGAUAUAGUAUUUAAAUAAAGAUAAGACAUAGAAUACUUAUAAGAUAUUCCCAAGUACACACACUAUCUUGCUUCAUGAACUAUUGUCUUAUUUAUAAGACCUAGUGGUAACUAUUUUACUCUAUCAUGUCACCCAUAAUUAAGUUAGAUGUAGAAACUACUAUAUAACUUCUAGAUCAUGAGCCAUUACUUAUAAAAUGCCUACAACAUGGUAACUACCUAGAUAACUAUUGUGAAUCAAUUCUCAACACUCUCCCUUGAUUUAUAGUUACAUACACUGAUUUGAGAUAUGAAAUAAAUAUAUUUCUGAACUGAAAGCGACUUGUUGAGGAUAUUCGUAACUUGUUUAUGUGUUCCAUAAUACUUUAUUGCUAUGACUCUACUUGCUAUAAGAUCCUAGAUUAAAUGAUAGAGUAUCUCUAUAUGCUUCAUUCUUCCAUGAAAUAUUGGAUUCUUCAUCGUUGCAAUUGUGGUUUUGUUGUCACAAAAUAUUUCCGUUGCUUCUUUUUUUUUUUGAUGAAGAUCUUCAAGAAGUCUUCUAAGCUAUAUUGCUUAACAAGUUGCUGAUGUUAUGGCUAUAUAUUCUGCUUCUAAUAUCGAUAACGCAUUUGUUGCUUGCUUUUUUGAACUCGAAGAUAUAGCUCCUGAUCCGAGGCUAAAAAUAUUGCUUGAAGUACUCUUUCUAUCAUCUAAAGCUCUUGUCUAAUCACUAUUAGUGAAACCAAAUAAUCUAUAUUUAAAAUUAUAAGAAUACCAAAUACCAUAAUAUAUAGUUCGAGCAAUAUAACGUAGAAUUCUUUUAACAACUCCGAGGUGAUAUUUGCUUAGGCUAUACAUAAACUUGGAUACUACACCAACAAAUAUGGUAAUAUCUAAUCGAGUAUGAGUUAGAUAAAUCAAAUAUCUAACCAAACUUCUAUAGUAUCUUUCAUUUGUCAAACAUAUACCAUUUUCAAGUUUUAAUUUCUCGUUUAGUGUUGUCGUAACUUUAUAAUUAAUCAUGUUAGAUUUUUUGAGUAGAUCCAUUGCAUACUUUCUUUGUGAAAUAAAAUUUUCAUCUGAUCCUUGCUUCACUUCCAACCUAAUAAAAUAAUAUAGUAAACCUAGAUCUAACAUGUCAAACUUAUUCAUCAUGUAUUUUUUAAAUUCUACCGAGUUAGAUGAACCCAUAUAUAAUAUAAUCAAUAUAAAGGUGAUUAUGUUCACAUUUCUUCUUUAGAUAAAAAGUAGGUUUAUUAUUGCUAUUUUAAAAUCUAUUUUGAUAAAAAUAAUAAUUAAUUUUACUAUACCAUACCCUUGGAGCUUAAGCUCAUAAAAAGCUUUCUUUAGCUUAUACACCUUUUCUUCUAUUCCUUUAACCAAAAAACCUUCUGGUUGAAUAACAAAAAUCUCUUCGUAUAAAUUUUUAUUUAAAAACAUAGAUUUCAUAUCAAAUUGAUAAAUAUGACAACUUAAGUGAGCAAAAAAAAAUAUUUUCAAAAUCAAUACCUUACUAUUGUAAAUAUCCUUUUGCUACAAUUCAAGCCUUAUACUUUUAGAUACUUCCAUCUGCAUUAAACUUUGUUUUUAACACCCAUUUUAAUCUAAUAGCUUUCUUUUCUUUUGGUAGAUCUAUUAGCUCCCAAGUAUCAUUCUUCUCGAUUGACUUGAUUUUCUCCUUCAUUGCUUUUUGGCAUUCCCCUUUUUCAACUAUUUUCUCCAAAGUUAUAGGAUCUAAAAUAAACAAAGCAAAUGUUGAGUUAUAAAUUUCUGUUAGUGAUCUGAAUUUUUCUGGAGGGGUAUCAGAAUUUGAACUACUAUUACGUGAGGUUGAUGAUGAACUCAUUGGAGUCGGAUCUGUCACUUGAUUUUGUAGAGUGUUUAGUUCUGCUGGAAUAACUGAUAUACUUUAGAUUAUAAGGAAUAACUAAUUAAGAUAUAUUUUUUAGAUUUUUCAUUAAGCUUGUAUUAGUUUAUGAAUUUACCAAAGCAUAAGCAAUACAACAAAAAAUUCUUAGAUGCUUUACACUUUGUUUCAUACUAUACCAAGCCUCAAAAGGAGUUUGAUUCAUAAUAACCUUUGUUAGUAAAAUAUUUAAUAAAUAAACUACUAUUGCCACUGCUUUUGCCCAAAACUGAUUUAGAAGGUAUUUUUCUUUAAGCAAACUUCUUGUUAUUUCAACGAUAAUUUGAUUCUUAAGUUUAGCUAUAUUAUUUUGCUCCGGUGUAUAAGGUGUUGGGUUCUUUUUAACAUAUCAAAUAUGGAUUAAACAAUUGUUUUAUAGAAUCAAAACCUUCAUCUUUGAUUCAAAAACAUACUUUAUAGAUCCAAAAUAAUGGAUUAAGAAUGUUUCCAUAAAACUUAUUUAAUCCACUAUAAUAUGCAUGAAAUCCUACAACAAUUGAUAAACAUAUUAACACGGAAGCGUACCUGAUGAAUCCAUUAGAGUAUUUUCUGAAUUGAUCGGUGAUUUGGUCUUGCNNNNNNNNNNNNNNNNNNNNNNNNNNNNNNNNNNNNNNNNNNNNNNNNNNNNNNNNNNNNNNNNNNNNNNNNNNNNNNNNNNNNNNNNNNNNNNNNNNNNNNNNNNNNNNNNNNNNNNNNNNNNNNNNNNNNNNNNNNNNNNNNNNNNNNNNNNNNNNNNNNNNNNNNNNNNNNNNNNNNNNNNNNNNNNNNNNNNNNNNNNNNNNNNNNNNNNNNNNNNNNNNNNNNNNNNNNNNNNNNNNNNNNNNNNNNNNNNNNNNNNNNNNNNNNNNNNNNNNNNNNNNNNNNNNNNNNNNNNNNNNNNNNNNNNNNNNNNNNNNNNNNNNNNNNNNNNNNNNNNNNNNNNNNNNNNNNNNNNNNNNNNNNNNNNNNNNNNNNNNNNNNNNNNNNNNNNNNNNNNNNNNNNNNNNNNNNNNNNNNNNNNNNNNNNNNNNNNNNNNNNNNNNNNNNNNNNNNNNNNNNNNNNNNNNNNNNNNNNNNNNNNNNNNNNNNNNNNNNNNNNNNNNNNNNNNNNAACAUAAGGUACUAUCAAUUCUCUAUGAAUACUAUUUUCUUUAUAAAAAAAAUUAAACUCAUUAGAUAAAAAAUUAUUAUCUCUAUCUCAAAUGUCUUUAUGUAUCUACCACUUUACCUUUCUACAAGUGCAUUGAAUUUUUAAAAAUUAUCAAAUAUUUUAGAUUUCAGUUCUAGAAAAUAUAUCGAACUCAUGCGACUAUAAUCAUUAUUAAAUAAUAAAAAAUAUUGACUUUAACCAAAUAAUUUUGUAUUCAUAGGUCCACAUAAGUUAGCAUGAAUUAAUUCAAAACAAUUAGAUGCUCUUCAUAUUUUUCCCACAAGAAAUUAUUUUUUAUUUUAUUUACCAUAAAUACAUUCUUUGUAUACAUUAAGUGUAUUAAUUUUACGUAAUCCAAAAAUUAUUAUUUUUAUUUAAUAACCUUAAACUCUAAAUGUUAAGGUAUUCAUAUUUUAAAUGUCAUAAAUUAGACUCAUUCUUUUGAGUUGCUAUAAGAGCAUACUUUUCAAUAUUUGAAACAUCAAGUGGAAAUAUCUUGUUUUGCGUCAUGCAAACAUUUACUGUAGCUAAACCAGAUUUUUUUUUAUCUUUAAUAGUGCAUGAACCAUCAUCAAAUAUAAUUAAAUAUUCAUCAUCUAUCAAUUGUCCAAUACUCAAUAAGAUAUGUAAUAAACUAGGAACCAAGAAAAUAUUAUUAAGGUGUUUUACCUUCCUUUGACUUGUCUUCACCUCAAUUGUUCUUUUUCCUUUCACUUGGAUUUGCUUAUUAUCUCAGAGUCUAACUUUUAAUUUAUGAGUUUUAUUAAUAUAUCUAAAUAUUGAUCUUAUUCUUGACAUAUGAUUAGAAUAUUCAUUAUCCAAAAAUCAAAUAUCAUUUGAGAUAUCAUUAACUUGUGAAUUAGUUAUAAAUAACUUACUAUUUUCUUCAAUUUUUUUCCACAAAGCUUAUUUGUUUUUUUCUUUUCCAGCAAUCUAUCUUCGUGUGACCAAUUUUUUUAUAAUAGUGAUAUUGAAUUCCACUUUUAUAGUUUUUUUUUAUCAUAAUUUGAUUGAUUUUGUUCAUUAUGCCCAUUAAAGUGUUCUCUUCCUCUUUCUCUUUCAUUUCCUCUGCUAUUAAAUCCUCCUUUGUCACGCCAUCUACUUAUUGAUUUUUUGCCUUCUUUUUCUCCCUUAACCUAAAAUGCUUUUUUUUCACUUUUCUCAAUUGACUUGUUCAGUCUUGCUUCAUGUGCUUAAAAAGAAUCUAUUAGUUCAUCAAAUGAAAAUAUAGAUAAUUUUUUUGACUCAUCGAUUGCGGCAACAACAUGAUUAAAUUUCAAAAUUAAACUUCUCAAAACUUUUGUAAUAAUUAUAUGAUCAGGAAGAAGUUCGCCAUAAUAUUUCAUUUGACUAAUAAUUUCAAUCACUCGAGAAAAAAAUUUUGUAUCGAUUCAUUAUUUUUCAUGAAUAAAAUUUAAAACUCACGAUGAAGGGUCUGAAGUUUUACCAUAAUCACCCUUGAUGAGCCUUGAAAUUCAUUUUGAAAUAUCAACCAAACUUAUUUUAAGGUUGUCGCUGUUACAAUUCUUGAGAAAAUUGUCUUAUGUACAACUUGUUGAAUGAAGAACAAUGUCUUUGAGUCAUUCUUUCUAUUUUUCUUCAACUUGGUUUCUUCAUCUGGAUCUACAUAUCCAUUCUCUAUUAAGUCCCAAAGAUCUUGAGACUUGAAUAGAGUCUUCAUCUUGAUACUCCAAAAUUCAUAGUAUUUGUCCGAAAAGAUGAAAAUACAAGGUUACAACAUGGAAUUAUCAUUGAAAGCCAUAAUGCCCAGUUCAUAUUGAAACUUAGCUCUGAUACCACAAAUGUUAAGGAUGAAAUAGUAAGGAAACGAUAAAAAAUAGAAUACUAUGAUGUAAUUAAAAAAAUUCUUUCAAUCCAGAAAAUCGAUAUAGUAUUUAAACAAGAGAUGAGACAUAGAAUACUUAUAAGAUAUUUCCAAGUGCACAUACACUAUCUUGUUUCAUGAACUAUGAUCAUAUUUAUAGGAUCUAGUGGUAACUACCUCACUCCAUCAUGUCACCCAUGAUUAAGUUACGUAUAGGAACUAUCUUAUAAUGUCACCCAUGAUUAAGGAUGGAAUAGCAAAGAAACGAUAAAAAAUAGAAUACUAUGAUGCAAUUAAAAAAAAUACUUUCAAUCUAGAAAAUCGAUAUAGUAUUUAAACAAGAGAUAAAACAUAGAACACUUAUAAGAUAUUUCCAAGUGCACAUAUACUAUCUUGUUUCAUGAACUAUGAUCAUAUUUAUAGGAUCUAGUGAUAACUAUCUCACUCCAUUAUGUCACCCAUGAUUAAGUUACGUAUAGGAACUAUCUUAUAAUGUCACCCAUGAUUAAGUUAUGUAUAAGAACUAUCUUAUAACUUUUAGAUCAUAGAUCAUUAUUUAAAAUAUAAUAAUUAUAUAAAAUAUGAUAACUAUCUACGUAUAACUAUCAUAACUCAGCAGGGCGCAUGAGAAAGGAACAUCCAAUCUGGCAGCAGGUUUACUAAACUUUGUCGGAGUAGGAGCAGAAUAUAGGGUGGUGGCGUUGGGUGUGGGAGAGAGGUGAUGUGAAGUGGAGGAUUCAUGGUACACUCAGUCAUCCCAUCAAGAGGGCCACAUCCGUCAGGCAGUGGUUCUACCUUUAGUGAACAUAAGAUAUGUCACCCAACUUUGUCAGCGCCAGCAGUAUCUUCUUCCUCAGACCGGAGAGUACCGCUGCCAUGCCAUGUUUUCGCUUCUCCACGAGGUCGAGGAUCCACCGCUUCCUUAUCCUUGCCUCACAUGUCGAGCAUCCAUAUGUGCUUGCCAGAAGACCGUGAGGUGUCGCUCCCAGAUGCCCAAACUAGUAGUGGGCUUUUUGCCAUUAUUUUGCAGGACCAUCAUCAGUCACCAUGACCGCCUCCUCUCUUCCAACACCAUACUUGCGAUGCCAGUAAAUGGAGUUACGGGGACAGCCGUAAACCACGGAGAAAGGGACUCCUCCCGUGCGUCGUUGAUGCUUCUGCUCCAAUGACUUCGUUCCCACUCAAUACUGCAUGGCCCACACGCCCAUGGAUGCUCUCGCAAUUUGACUCGAGGGCAUCUCUUUCGCCAUGGAUGCUCUCAUCCCUGCACGAAAGAGGCAAGAAAACGAGAGCGCACUGAAAGACAAGGCUUGCAGGAUGCUUUUUAGAUUACCAUUUCCGCUUCAACAAGGUCGAGCCGUGCACUCCAUCCACAUUACCCCCCACUGCUUGUCCACACACACUCUCAUGGACGACGACCCUUCCAUCCUGUCUCAUGACAUUGAUGUAAUUUUUAUUUAUUAUUUAUCAUUAUAAACUAUAUAUAUAUAUUCUGAAAUAGACUAAGUAUCACCGGGCGACGAGACGAGGAAGAAAUGGAAGGAAUCGGCGAACCCAUGUCUCCAGAUAGACCGACCUGCCGGCCCAUGUUAAUAUAGCUGGGCCGGAUGAACUAAUGUGAUCCAACCCACCAACCGUAAUCUAAUCGAUCGAUGGUUGACUUUUGGAAGGUUGAAACGCGUCGGUUAUAUCCAGAAUGGAUUACGUUACAUGCAACACUUUAUUUCUCUUUACAGUUGAAGCAGCAGUUGGUCCUCACUCUUCCUUCUUCGUUUCCUCUGUCUCAGAAGAUAAACUCUUCUCGUAGAUGAACUGAGCGACUAAGCCCGCAAAUAUCAAGCCCAGCGCAGCGACUUUUCGCCAUUCCACCUCCGGAGUGACGACGACAGCGUUGGCAAUGGUGAAGCCCAGCACGGUCAUCAGCGCAAGGUAUAUGUUGCUUCGCACCUUCAAACCUGCGUUUCUCCUCGUGGCUUCCUCCAGCUUUUGCGCUUCCAUCUUGGCUUUCAUCUUCGCUCCCGCUUCCUUGUCUUUGGGUGCAGGUCGUUUCUCCUUCAGGUUCUUGAAGAACAAGCCCUCGUUCCGGUCCCUCUCGAUUUGGUCUUCGAACUCCUCCAACACCCGGUCGUUCUUCUCGAUCUCCUGCCUGUUCACCUCCGCGGCUUCCUCGAACGCCUGCGCCCGGUUCUCCAGCUUCUCCAUGAUC
rnacentral:lncRNA from 1 species